rnacentral:lncRNA from 1 species
UAUUAUACAUAUGUGCAGCAUGAGCAAAAGAGAGGAAAUGAUUUUUCAGCUAUACAAUGCUACAUGAAAGAACACUGUGUUACAGAAGAAGAAGCGCUGAUCGAACUGAAUAAACAAGUGAAUGAUGCAUGGAAGGAUGUAAACGAAGUAUUGCUCCAGCCUCCCACAACUGUGCCCAGGCCAAUACUGUUGCUGUGUCUCAAUCUUCUACGAGUAACUGAUGUUAUAUACAAGAACGACGAUGGUUAUACUAAUGGUGGAGUUGUGCUUAAGGAUUAUAUAACUUCUCUGCUUGUCGAACGUGCUCCAAUGUAGGUUAUCAUCAAUCAACAUUCGACAUGUUAUCUUCCACGCGUUAUGACAAAUAAAGACUCGGUCUAAACCCUAAGGCUGGGUUAUUACAAAUAAAAGAUUUUAUGCUCUUUAUGGAUUAUUGUAUUUCUGCACGGGGCUUUGGUUCAUGUCCUCCCCGUUGUUUUCUCAGUCAUAAACCUCUUCUACAGUAAUAUAUUUUGCCGGUGUCAAGGUAUUAAUUUAUUUUGUUUGUGAACUUUACUUUCUUAAGAACUUGUACGUUAUGCCAAUAAAAGAUUAAAAGUAUAGAUUGAUGACAUGCAUACUUGGCCUAGUUUAGGGCAGCUCUGAGGAACUACUACCUAUCUGUGUUUGAUGAUCAGAUUCGAUGAAGCAACUUUCUCAUUGUUUGUCGAACAGUUGUUUGAGAUUCUGCUCCCGUUUGCCAAGUGAAAUCAGUGGCCGGCCAUUAUUAUUCAAAUCUUGCUUAACUAAAAUGGCAUGCAUGACAUCAUUUGAAAGCCGUAUUUUUGAAACCAAUCAUGUACGCGGUAAACUGGUAACUAAAAUUUAUCAAGGGCUCAUGGACUAAAAUUACUACUUAUUUUUUUAUUAAUUUAUGGUAAUUGUAUGCAUGUCAUACAUUAACACGUUGUAGAAUUUUUAAACAUUUUGUAUAAAGUUGUAAAUUCAUCGUAUUACUUACACACCGAGUAUCAAAGAUAUUUUAAAACAAACAAAUUGAUGACAUAUUAAUUUUCUUUGACGAAUACACUAUAUUGGUAAAAUGAUUGACAAAUACAUUAGGAUAACGUGGAUUGCAAUACUUGAGCAAACAUGAGAUGUUUGAGUUUAGGGUUUCUCUUAUAGCAUGGUACGUAGCUAUAUAUAUAAAGGCGUACCUACAUACAGGUUACGGUAGGCCAGAUUUUGAGAAAACAUUGUUUUGUUGCAUAUUUAUAAUUAAAAAAAAUUUGAAUUAUGAAAACUAGCCCACCCCAAAUUUCUUUAUGUAAUUGAACUUAGUCCAUAUGAUUUUUUUUUAUCUGAUUACAUAUAUAUUGUUUAUUUUAUUAAAAGCAGUUGCUCGUUUAGUAUAUUUUAUGUCAACUUUCUUCUCUUUAUUUCUUUUUCUUUGUCGUUGUAUACGUCUCCAUUCUCUUCUGCCGAAGCAGCUAAGCCAAGUGUUAAGUUUUUUCUCUUUAAUCUGCAGGUAUGAUUCUUAGUUAUAUUGGUUAUCCUCUUGGAGGGUCUUGUACGUGUCAUAUGACCUAGUUCUCAAAUCUCAACUGAUUAAUGUCUUGAUCAAAUUUAGUCCCAAUAUCUCAUCAUCUCAAAUCUCAAUUGAUUAAUGCUUUGAUAGUCUCAAUAUCCCAUCAUCCCAUCGCACUGUAUUUCUAUUGAUAUUCUAAUUCUAAUCUCAAUUGCUUGCUUACUAAUUCUAAGCCACGUGCCAAGCUUUCUCUCUUUAAUCUAUAAGUAUGAUUCUUAGUUAUAUCGGUCAUCCUCUUGGAGUCUUGUAUGUGUCAUAUGACCUAGUUCUCAAAUGUCAAUUGAUUAAUGCCUUGAUCAAAUUUAGUCCCAAUAUCUUAUCAUCUUAAAUCUCAAUUGAUUAAUGCCUUAAUAGUCUCAAUAUCCCGUCAUCCCGUCACACUGUAUUUGUAUUGAUAUUCUAAUUCUAAUCUUAAUUGCUUGCUUACUUUAUUAUAGAUGACUAAUGCUAAUGAUAUGUGUGUGUGUGUGUGUGUGUGUGUGUGUGUGUGUAUAGUUGUAAUAAUACCAACGUUUGAUUCAUAGUUAUGAGAUUGUGUUUUUCCGUCCUGUUAGGUUUAAAGAUUAUACACUCGUUUACUGUAUUGUUAGAGCGGUGAUUGUGUGCUUAAUUAUUAGAUUUUACUUCUAUUCAAGAGCGUAUGGUUCAAUUUGAGUAUGUAUGUUCUUUUAUCUUUAGCUUUUGUUAUUUAAUUUCUAUAAAAUGUUAUAAUAUUGAUUGCUUAAUGAUCAGUUAACUACGUGAUUAUUUGAUAUAUUUUUAAUCUAAAAUGUGAUAUGUAAAAUAUAGAAGAAAAAAAAUUAAAAAACUUUAUUUAAAAAAAAAUUUCAGCCCACCCUAACCUAAAAUCCUAGGUCCGUCAUUGCAUAUACAGAGUGCAACAAUGAGACUAGUUCAUUAGUCUGAUAUUGACUGAGAAUACUGAUCUUCUUCUCUCUCUUUAUACAUUUCCUAUCGUGACACCAAAAUGAAAUGGAUGAGCUCAUGCGCAAGAAAAUGAUCGGAGUAGUUAUCGGAAUCAAAACCAAUUUGCAUGAAUUCAUGCCUCGCUCUUACAUGGGUGAAGUUGAAUUAAUAAUCCGGGAUUAUCAAACACCAGACGCCACUACGUACUCGAGAAGGUAUGAAAAUUAUACAUGGAAAUUAAGUUUGAAAUAACAGAUGAAGCAAAACGGAAAACGGUGGAAAUGGUUGGACUUCGUUGCUUUCAUACCUUGACUUCUCGACUGAUGAUGACACCAUGGAUGAUUAUUGUAUCGAGUCGAUAUUGUCAUUUGCUCAUCAGGCGCUCUCAGCCGUAGCUAGCUCCACAAUGCAACUUAUUUCUUGUACGUAUCUACGUACGUACGGCUUGUCCUCACACAACAGUCGCUUUGUUAUCAGUGUAUCACUAUAAAUAUCGAGGCACCGUGGUAGUUUAACUCACACCAGCAAGCUAGCUCUCCCGGCCUUAGUUGUUUAACUACAUCAGAGUCUCAGCUUUCAUUUUUCGAGUGCUUCGAUUCCCCUAGCUAUAAUGGAUCCUCUGUUGGUUUCAGCAUCUCAAGCUCAAACCCAAAAUGGCAGUAGCACUGCAGAUGUUGAACGACGUUCAGCAAAUUUUUCUCCCAGCGUUUGGGGGGAAUAUUUUCUGGCAUAUGCAUCUGUGGUAGGUUAUUUUUGAAGUAAUUAGCAGCAUCAUAUGAAUGUCAUAUUUAUCUUAUUACCCCCUUCAAAAUUUUCAUCUACUGUAGGAAACUGCUGAUAUUCAAGCCGACAAACGUGUCAAAGAACUGAAGGAAGAAGUGAAGAGGGUGCUACUUAGUUCUCCGCCUUCACAGAGAUUAGACUUGAUUGAUUACAUUCAGCGCUUGGGGUUGUCACACCAUUUUGAGGAUGAGAUUCACCAAUUUUUGCAGCAAAUUCACAACCAAUACUCAUCUGCUUCUUCAGAUGAUGAUGACCUUCACACUGUUGCUCUACGUUUUCGGCUGCUUAGGCAAGAAGGAUUUAAUAAGGUUUCAUGCGGUGAGAAUCAUUCUUUUUUUCCAACUUUUCUAUAUAUUUAACAAUGGAUUAUUUCCUCUUAUUUCUUCUCUUGGUUGAUGAUCAUUAAGCAGACAUGUUCAACAAGUUCAUCGAUGUUGAUGGGAAUCUUAAGGAAUCAUGCGUCGCUGACGUACCAGGACUGCUAAGUUUGUAUGAAACAGCACAUCUAAGGAAACAUGGAGAAGAUUUCCUAGAUCGAGCAGUGUCCUUCACUACCACUCAUCUUGAGUCUGCAGUAGCAGCACCCGGCCGUUUAAGCCCCCCACUUUCAAAUCAAGUAGCUCAUGCCUUGUAUCAACCACUCUGGAAAGGAAACCCGAGGAUAGAAGCUAGGCAUUACCUCUCUAGCUACCAGGAACUCAACAGUGGUCCACAUUUUAGCCAAAGUCUCUUGACUUUUGCAAAGUUGGAUUUUAAUUUUUUCCAGCGUAUCCAUCAGAAAGAACUAAGUGAAAUCACAAGGUCAAUGAUCAGCUCCCCUUACUCGAUCAAUAUUUACAUACCGAAAAUUAGUGCUAACACAAUUAUACGGAUAUCUAUGCAUGUACUUAUAAAUUGGUAGGUAUUUUCAGGUGGUGGAAGGAGUUGGACUUUGUAAACAAACUACCGUUUGCAAGGGAUCGAAUAGUAGAGUGUUACUUUUGGUCUUUGGGAGUCUGCUUUGAGCCCAAGUAUCGUCUUCCGAGGGAAACAUUAUGCAAAAUUCUUGGCUUACUUACCAUGAUUGAUGACACUUUCGAUACGUAUGGCAAACUUGAUGAACUAGAGCUCUUUACUGAAGCUAUUCAGAGGUAUAAAACCAAUCCUAGUAGCUGCAUGACCAUUUCUUUUGUUUUUCAGUUAUAUAUUAACCUCUUUUAUUUCAUAAGAAUAUUGCGACAUGCUUGGUUGACACGCAUCUAUAUAUGUUGUUUUUGAUUAUCAAUCAGGUGGGAUCUCUCUGCCAUGGAUUCACUGCCUGACUAUAUGAAAAUUAUCUAUGAGGCAGUGCUGAAUGCCUACACUGAGAUUGAAGCCGAGCUUGCCAAGGAGGGAAACUCGUAUCGCAUUGCCUAUUUAGUAGAAGGAGUAAGUCUCAUUAUCUCUCAAGAGAGCUGACUGAUAAUUUUUUAUGGUUCAAUUUCAACACAUUCGGUUUUCAUCUGCCUCUAUAUACUUCAGUACGUAGAGCAAUGACAGAAUGAUUAUGUAUUUUUUUUCUCUGAUGAUCAGACGCAAUGUCUAGUUAGAGCUUACAUGAAGGAAGCCAAAUGGUACCACCUAAAGUGCACACCGAAAACCUAUGAUGAAUACAUGAGGGUGGGACUUAUUACAUCCGGCAUGUUUUUGGUAGAAGCAGCAGUCAUUGUUCCAUUAGCCGGUGAAAUUUCGACAAGAGAUUCCUUGGAAUCGUUGUUCAGAGACCCUAACAACAAAAUUGUAUAUGCUUCAAACAUACUUGGGAGACUUCUGAAUGACAUCCGAAGCCACAAGGUACAAAUACAGCAUAUAUAGUACUGAAUAGGAGUAAUAAACCUUGACCAACUUUGUUAUGGAAGUUUGUAAUUUGUUUCUGAGUAUUACACAUAUGUGCAGCAUGCGCAAAAGAGAGGAAAUGAUUUUUCAGCUAUACAAUGCUACAUGAAAGAACACUAUGUUACAGAAGAAGAAGCGCUGAUCGAACUGAAUAAACAAGUGAAUGACGCAUGGAAGGAUGUAAACGAAGUAUUGCUCCAGCCUCCCACGACUGUGCCCAGGCCAAUACUGUUGCUGUGUCUCAAUCUUCUACGAGUAACUGAUGUUAUAUACAAGAACGACGAUGGUUAUACUAAUGGUGGAGUUGUGCUUAAGGAUUAUAUAACUUCUCUGCUUGUCGAACCUGCUCCAAUGUAGGUUAUCAUCAAUCAACAUUCGACAUGUUAUCUUCCACGCGUUAUGACAAAUAAAGACUCGGUCUAAACCCUAAGGCUGGGUUAUUACAAAUAAAAGAUUUUAUGUUCUUUAUGGAUUAUUGUAUUUCUGCACGGGGCUUUGGUUCAUGUCCUCCCCGUUGUUUUCUCAGUCAUAAACCUCUUCUACGUACAGUAAUAUAUUUUGCCGGUGUCAAGGCUAUUAAUUUAUUUUGUUUGUGAACUUUACUUUCUUAAGAACUUGUUAUGCCAAUACAAUAUUAAAAGUAUAGAUUGAUGACAUGCAUACUUGGCCUAGUUUAGGGCAGCUCUGAGGAACUACUACCUAUCUGUGCUUGAUGAUCAGAUUCGAUGAAGCAACUUUCUCAUUGUUUGUCGAACAGUUGUUUGAGAUUCUGCUCCCCUUUGCCAAGUGAAAUCAGUGGCCGGCCAUUAUUAUUCAAAUCAUGCUUAACUAAAAUGGCAUGCAUGACAUCAUUUGAAAGCCGUAUUUUUGAAACCAAUCAUGUACGCGGUAAACUGGUAACUAAAAUUUAUCAAGGGCUCAUGGACUAAAAUUAUGACUACUUAUUUUUUUUUACCAAUUUAAGAUAAUUGUAUGCAUGUCAUACAUUAAUACGCCGUAAAAUUUUUAAAAUUUUUGUAUAAAGUUAUAAAUUCAUCGUAUUACUCACACCGAGUAUCAAAGAUAUUUUAAAACAAACAAAUUGAUGACAUAUUAAUUUUCUUUGACGAAUACACUGUAUUGGUAAAAUGAUUGACAAAUACAUUAGGAUAACUUGGAUUGCAAUACUUGAGCAAACAUGAGAUGUUUGAGUUUAAGGUUUCUCUUAUAGCAUGGUACUAGAUGAUGCCCGCGCGCUGCUGUGGUUUGCAAUGACGGAUAUUAACUACCGUAAUUGCUUUUGUUUGAAUCAAUGUUGCUGUUGUUGGACAAAAUUAUAAACACAAUAAUAUAAAAUGGAUAUUGCACAAUGACAUUGGUCACAAAAAGGAAAUGUAUAGCAUUUUUUGACUUGCAAUUCAUGAUGGUAAACAAAAUGGAAAUGUAUGACAAAAUAGAAAUACACAUGGUGAUGCUAUCGAUAUACAUAACAUAUAAAACAAUAGUACAUAGUAUUGUGUUAUAGACACCAAAAUAACUGGGCACAAAAAAUAGCUACAUCUAUUGUCUCUUUGGAUAGCAAAAUGCUUCCCACUGCCAGGCAACACCGGAUUGUAUCUGCAGUUAGAACCAACUAUGUCUAACUUGUUAGCAUCAAAAGGAUCACAUAUACAAAAACACAUGUUUCUUACUCCUGCUUUGAUUUGACCUUACAUUCGCUUCCUUGAGCUCUGGUAUAUGAACAUUUAAAUUCAGGCAAUGGAUACAAAGCUGUGAAAAGAUAAACAAAACAAAUGCAAAGCAUACCAUUGCAACAUAAACACUGAAAGAAAACAAAUGCAUGGAUAUGGAUAUAAGGGAUGCUUACUUUGAUAUCCCAUUGCUUUCUUCUCCUCUACAAAAAAUGCAUGGAUAUGGAUAUAAGGGAUGCGUACUUUGAUGUCCCAUUGCUUCCUUCUCCUCUACAAAGUGAAGAGGUAUGUGUUAGUUACUGGAUAAAUUUAGUUGUACAUGAAAAUGCCAACAAUCGUUAACAAUACAUGAAUAUCAGAAUGUAAUACAGACCAUCCCAUUUUAAUCAUACUACUGUAAUGUAAAUAGAUACUGAGAUAGAAACGAAAUGCAUAUAUAUGGAUAUAAGCAAUGCUUACUUUGACGUCCCUUUGCUUCCUUCUCCUCUGCAAAGUGAAAUGUUUUCAGUAGGGGAUCAAUUUGAAAGCUCAAGCAAAGAGAUUGAGAGAAUUCAGAGAAUCAAAGAAAAUAUCUUGCAUCUAUUAUCUUGUGUUACACAGAGGAAGAGAGAGACUUCAGCUAUUAUACCUAUAGCUAUUAGAGAGAUACAAUACAACUGUAAAAGGCUUAUAGAUAAACAGUAAAACUAGACUACGUUUUACUGUUUUACAACAAUUACUCUUAACACCCUCCCUCAAGCUGAUGGGAGAGAAGCUACCAUCAGAUUGCAUUAGCAAAGAGCCAAAGAACUGAGCAAUACAGUGACCAAAAAUAUUGGUUUCAACCCGGAUUAAUGAGCGGCAGUGACUGGCAUAGCUGCAUAGGAUAAGAGGCACGCCUACAAUUUAAUGUAGUUUGAUCCGAAGUAGAUAACAGUCGCCAAUUGCCUUGCACCGGUAAAGCUUCAAUUUCCUUAAGCACUUCUUGCUGCCAUUUAGAGAGAACUGGACUGGCAGUGCCAAUAUGCAAGGGAUGAGUUUGACUAGCAUCAAGGAUAUGAGUUGGUUGCUGAGAAGAAUAUGUAUGCCUGUAUAAGCAUUCAGCUGCACUAUGACCUGACUUCAUGCAAAUUUGACACUGCAUAUAAGAUCUAGAGGCAACAACUUGUCAAGGAGCAGAUCUUUGAGAACAUACUUGAGUAGUAUGACACUUGCUAUUGCAUAUUUGACAGGCUUCGGGAGUGUUACUAAUUCCAUUUGAGAAAUCAUUGACUUUGAGACUUCCAACCUUCUUAUUCCUUAACCCACUUGAAGUAUCAUAUAAGCUAGAAGCGCCAACAUGAGUGCUGUUGUGAAUUCUGUAGUUGUUCCACCCACUAUUCUGAUAACAAACUCUAGUUCUUCCUCUUCGGUCAAAACCCUUGCAAGCAUUAACAAUGGAGCUGAAAUACCAAGUUCGCUGACCCACUUGAGUAGAAGGAUGUGCACCAGAUUGUAAGAUAUUUCCAUUGUUAGUAAAGCUCAUUUUAUGUGAAGGGUCACAAUGUUGUUGUGGAGAAUCACUGCAUUGUUGCAAAGGCUCACCAUUUUGCAGAAUAUGACUAGUGUUUGGCUGAGAAAUUGUGCCAUUGCACAGAGCUUCACUUGUUGGAACAACACUUGAACCAAGAGGAUAAUCAAUAGAAUCAAUAUUCCCAACAAUCGAACCAGCAGAUAAAUUGGGAGUAGAUGUCACCAUAUGACCAUUAUUUGACAUAAGAGGUACCCCAAAGUUUCCAUUUUGCAUCAUGGCAUUAACAACAUAUGUAGGAUUCAUAGUAAAACCAGAUGCAACAUGGUUCAUAUUGUUAGGCAGAACAGUAUGCUGAGGUACAUAAGUAACUUGAGUGGUAAGAUGUGUCCCAAGACAUUGGUUCUCAAGAGAUGUCGUCACAGGAGUAGAAACAAGAGAAACAAGAGAACCCGAAUCCGUACCAGAAGAUUGGUUCUCAACAGAUAUAGGCACGGGAGUAGAGUUGACAAAUUGAGUAACAAGUUCUGAAGAGCUGCUGGUAAGAGCAUUGUUGUUUGAAAUAACAGCAGCAAACUCCAUUUCGGAACUAGGUAAAUAGGUAUUAUUCAAAGAAUAAGACUGAACAUUACCUCUGGAAGUAUCACCAAUUGCAGCCAUAGCUGUCUCCAAAGACAAUGAAAUAGACUUCAAAGUUUGUUCAAUCUCAUCUUCACCAAUCAACAAAAGAGACCUUUAAGUCUUUCAUUGAAACAGAGGAGCUCAGUGCUUUGAUUCUUAUAACAGUUUUUAUGGUAGCAAACUCUGAAGGCAAACCAUUAAGAACUGAGACUACAAUAUCUUCAUCAUCCAUAUAAACUCCCAUUGUAGCAAGUUGAUCACAUAUUGACUUCACUCUAAACAAGUACCUGUCAAUAGAGUCUGAGCCUUUUUUGAUGUUGUUUAAGGAGUUUUUGAGAUUCAUUAUGUUAUACCUUGAAUCAUCAACAUAUUUCUCCUUAAGCCGACACCAAAUUUUCUCAGAAAACUUGCUUCCAAUAAUGAAGGAGAGAGCAUCAUUGGACAAAGUAGCAGCAAGUAUAGACAUAAUGGCAGAGUCAUUUUGCAUCCAAUUCAUGUACUCUGUCAUAUCAGUGGCAACCUCAUUUUCUUCCAUAUUCAGGUACUCUGGAGGACAAGGGAAUGAUCUGUCGAUAUAUCUCAUCAAGCCACAACCCUUUAACAAUGUUUCUACUAAAAACUUCCAUGUGACAUAGUUAGAUUUGUCUAAGCGGAUAGGAAUGAGAUUGCAAAAAUUGGAAAGCAGACACUUGCUUAACUCAACACUGUUAUCCAUGAUGGCAGGCAACACAGAAUAAUGUCUUGACUGAGUGAAAUGCCAACACAACUCAACUAUCACCACUAUAGAACUCCAAUGAGUAACUUAUGAACAACACUGUGCUCCAGCAAUGUCUAGCUUUAUGCAAUUUCUUUCGAAAUACUACCAAUGCAUUUCAGUUCACUGGUUCCAUAAGAUCAAGUAGAUGAUAAGAAGCCAAUGACAAGGACUGCACGGUGACAAAGCUCUUCCAAAAAUAUGUAGUAUGCCUAACUUGUAACAAAUGUCUAAGCAACUUGAAGCAGCAAAUUCGAAUCUUCACUAUAGCCAAAACUUCUUGCAAACAGAGUGCUUCAAUAAUCAACAAAUCCUAUUGCAUGAAUCUAAGAAAAAGUUCAAUUGUAGCUUGUUUCACCAAUCUUUCAUCGUUCAACAACUAGAAGAAACACCAAAACAUAACAAAGAGAGAAUUUGGAGUAAAAUCCCCAAAUUCUAAGGUUUCAAUUUCUGGCAUAUAUCAACGAACUUCACACUGUUCCAAUUCAGCAACUAAAACUUGUAGAAAUCUGUAAUCGAACAGAUAUUAUGCAAAUCAAAUACUUCAAUCAAACUAUGAAUCUAGCUUUCUUCUUCUUCAAAAUUCUAGAAAACUUAUCUGGGAGAUGAAUCUUAUCUGGAGAUGAAUCGAACACCGAAGCAAGCAAGAACAACAAGUAUGAAUAUCGAUGAAGAGUGAAACUCUAGGUCGCCGGCGAAAAUCUUCGAUCCCGAUCGAACCUGGCUCUUGAUACCAUGAAAGCUCUUGAAUACCAGAAUGUAAUGAAAGAUCAUUCCAUUUAAAAGAGGAGCAUAGUUACUGUUCUCUGAUAAGUAUUCUGAGUAACACAUGCAUUGAACACACAACACAUAUAUGUAUAUAUAAUGAUAUAUAUAUAUAUGUAUAUAUUCACACAUGCAAUAUGGUAAUACCUUUUCUGCUUCUUUAUUUCAAUGUUCAAAAGCUCCUUAAGUGUUAAUUCUUUUCGGGGCUGCAUAGUUCUUUUUGCUGGAGUACUUGGCUCUGCUACUGUGUCAUGGACAGUGAAUAAAAUAGAUAUGCAUUGAUAAAGGUGAAACACCUUUACAAUGAAUUAAGGUAUGAUAUGUGAAACAUGGGAAAAAAAAAAAGUUUAAGCAGAAUGACAAAUACAAAGAGAUUUGGCAAAUGAAUUACAUGCACUUAUACAUUUCAUAAAUAAGAGUCAAAAAUACAGUGAACAUGUAAUUUUAAAAAUUUCAAAGGUGGGAAAUAGUGUUUAUUCAAGUAGCUGACAUUGGAUGCCCAAUCUGCUCUCCAUGGUGUCCACAACAAAGUUUUCUAGAAUUAUGAUCGAACCUAAAGGUCUUGCUACAGGUGGGGCAAGCUAGAUAAUACCAAUCCUCUCGAAUGAUAAAUUUUGUAAUCUUGCCUUACAAGUGAAGAUAAGACUCCUGUAGCAAGGUCAUCAGCAUAAAUUCAAAAACAUUAACUUGUAAUUCAAAACAUUUAAACCCAAACAUUAACAGCAGUUAGACAUUAAAUAAAAGUAUUAACAGGAGAUCGUCGCAACUGGUAUCAAAAUUGCUUUGGAUAAAGGAUCAAAUAAGGAAGGCCUGCAACUACCAUAUCAAUAAUAAUGAAAUAUAAAACAUGAGUGCCAGCUUGAGAAAGGAAACAUAUUGCAAUGUAUUGAUAAGUGUUAUGUUUCAUGAAAAAGUUAAUGAGCUACUUAGUUGCAUCCACACAAAAAAAAAGAUGGUUUUUUCCUUAUAUUUUGCAUAUGCUUCUUUUAUGAAAUCUGAUAACAUAAUUUUCAAGUGUUUUCAUUUUUGUUCAACCUAUUGAUAAUCAGUGUGUAAAUACUACCAUCAAGAAUGGACAACAAAUGUUUUAAAACUGAUUGAGAGAUUAUGUAGAUGAACUUGUAUAAGCCAAGCACCGGUCAACCACAGUUCAAAAAUAGGAAACAUAAAAGUACUUGUGAAUCAUAGACAACAUAUCAUAUUUAAUCAAAUUAUUUUACCUUGUCUUUCUUUCCAGCUUGCAUGUUCAAGGCACUAACAGUGAUCAUAUUCUGAUCUUGAAGAUCAGGAGCAGGUUGAUGACGUGCAGAUGAUAUUGUAAUUAUCUUUGGGGUGAGAAAAGGUUUGUUGACGCUGCAAAAGCAAACAAAAUAGCUUCAAUUGCUUUCAUAAGUUGAAACAAUAAACCUUAUGUUGUUCAACCUAUAAGAGCUUACCUUGCCCUAUAUACACAUAUUUCAGGAAUGGGUGGAUUGAUGAACGUACAUGUACUCAUCCCAGUAACGAAAUAUUGAAAGCACCAAAAACAGUUAAUAGCCAUUAUACAGUAACAACAUGUAGCAGGACAAAAUAACUCUCAUACCAAAGUGCCGGUGUUUUGUGCUUGUGAUGGCCAUCACAACUGGAGGUGUGGCAAAUUCUUAUUGUCUCAACAUCAAAUUCAGCUGCAAGUGUUCCCCACAAAGUGACUUUCAAAUUCAGCUGCAAGUGUUCCCCACGAUGUGUUGAAGGACGUGUUGCUUCCGAUGCGGGCGGAGGGUCAGGAGUACAAUGAGCCUCAAGGUUUGGCUCUCUUUGAUUGCUUUGAAAUGUGAAAGUUUGAAUCCAUUAGGAAUAUCACAUUUGUUGCCAGAUUGUGGCGCACUUCAAAUUUGAUAGGUUUCAGUUCAAAGUUUCAUGAAUAGGCACUGAUAUGUGAUGCUUAUGAAUUGGUUUUAUGAGAAGGACCACAUUGAAUUUGGUUAUGCACACCAGGUGCUUGAUGAAAUAUAUGUGAAUGAAUUUUGAUGUUUUUUCUUGAUGAGACCACAGUGGACCUUGAUGUGCUACCGAGGGCUGACAUUCUCAAGUUCUUGAGCAAGGAAUGUGAGGAAAGAGAUCCUACACGCUACAAAGAGAUGCGCAUUAAAGAUGAAACCUUAAGAAAUACAGAAUUCUGCCCAGAUUUUCAGUCAAAUUCGGCGGCAAAUUGCGAGCAGCUCAGAGCGAUCCAAGAACCUUGCCUUAUAUCAACGGAAAGCUAGAAGAGUCUAGUUUCCAGAACUUUUCACGGAUCGUUGAUAGCUAUUUUGUAGAGGAAGUUAUGGCCGUUGGAAGGAGGGAAUGUCAUUCUGCCGAAAACUGGAAAAGGAAGGAGAAAAGUCUAUCAAGCAAGUGUUCAUAUAACUGGCAAUGUAGCCGUUAAAUGUGGAUGAUGAUUUUGGAGGUUAAUUUCGCGGGAACUAGCAGUGCCCACCUGUCAGGUAAGCUUCACUUUCGACAUGAAGCUCUUAAUGUUUGAUUGAAUUUUUGCUUAUUGAUUUGUUCAUAUCUGAAAAUUUAGGAAAUAAGAGAAGCUUAGGGGAGAUUAAUUAAAAAUGAAGAUGACUUCUAUAUUCGUUCACAUGGGAAGUUUGAACAAAUUGCAAAUGAAUUAAAUGAAUCCAUUGUUUCUAUUGAUAUAUAAGGUGAAGCUCUAUGAAACAAUGUUAGAGUUGAAAUCUUAUUCGAUCUAUGAUUUACAACAAGAUUGGUGACAUUUAGCAAAUGAAGAUUUGGACAGGGUUUUAAAGAGUAUAUGUAUUUGGUGUAUAUCACACUUUAAUUAGGGUUUAUAUCCAAAAGAAAGGCAUUGUGUGUGUAUGAAAGUAUUUGUCAUAUUUUGUUUCUUGGCCAUACAUUUUAUUCCCUCUUGCUUGACAUGGAAUUUGGUUUCUGUUUUUUGUUUUUGUUUUUUUUUUUUUGUCCAGAAUUCUACAUUAUAAACUACCAAGCCUCUGAUUUGUGUGAUUGUGAUAACUUACUGCAUCACUUAUAUUGUAAUGGCAGUGGUUCUAACUUAGCUGCAAUUCGAGAGAAGUGGCCAAGAAGUACUGUCGUCCAUCAACUAGAAGCUCACAUUUUGAUAUAUGUUGUUCUAUGUUAAGUUGGUGAGGCUCAUCCCUAUUACACCCUCUACGCAUAUUUGACUCAAGUUGCUGUGAUAUAUAAUCAGUUAGUUCAGAACAAGUUUGUUGGGUUGUUCAAAACAAGCCCUGAUUUGUGUUGUUCAGAACUCACCAAAAGUUGUCCUUAGCUUCUACAAAGAUAGAAUAUGGUGCAAUUGUUGUUCUUGUAUAGAUAAUUUGGUCUACAUUUAAGAGAUCAAGAUUCUCUUUACAUACUUUUCUAUAAGAUAAAUAAGAUUGAUGUCCAGUGAUAAAUCUUUUAUAUAUGUUGCGCUAGUGUUACAUGGAUAGUUACAUAUCAAUUUUAACAGUUACAUCGGAAUGCUGCGCCAUGGUGCAGCGACACGUUGCAAAUAUCACAAAAUAGUCAUGGAAUAUAAAUGGUAGUUACAUGGGUAGUAACAUGGAUAGUUACAUAGAUGCAUAGUUACAUGGAUAGUUACAUGCAUAGUUACAUAGAUGGAUAGUUACAUGCAUAGCUUACAUAGAUAGUUACAUAGAUUAAGAGUGUAAUCUGGAAAACGUAAUAAAGAAAUAAGAGUGUAAUCUUGCUAUGUAACUACGAUGUUAUUACUCAAUUAAGAGUGUAAUCUGGAAAACAUAGUAAAGAAAUAAGACAUUUUCACCUUCAUUCAUAUGAUUUCAGUGGAUACUUGAUACAAUAACAGUAGUUUCCAGACCAAAAAAGAAAGUACAUCCUAGACUAAAGAGGUGCUAACCCCACUUUCUCUGCAUCAUAUCAAAACAACCCAGAGCUGCAUCCUAUUUGAUAUAAGCUCCUUCUUGCUGAUUUUGCCAAACCUCUCUGUUUAAGUAAAGCUGCAACAACAUGGCUGACAAGUACAAUGAGAUUUGUAAAUAAGUUAUAGCAUCAUGAUGACAAGUUGCUGAAGAAGUUCCAUAUGUGUGCGUAACUACAUAAGCUUCAUUGUCAAAGCCUUCUUCUGGAGUGAACCAAGCUUUAUGGAAUGAACCUAGUUCAGAAUACCAUAAAAAUCAAAUCCUUCUGUUCUUCAGUCACUACCAGAAGAAAGGCUUUAGCCGACGAAAAUAAAAAAACCAGGCAGACGAAUUAUUUUUUCGUCGGUUAACGUGGACUUUAGCCGACGAAAUUUUCCUUCGUUGGCUUAUUUAAAUUUUCGUCGGCUAAAGAAAUUUUUUCAUCGGCUUUAGUCUGUGAACUUUAGCCGACGUCUAUAUAAAAGUUUAGCCGACGAAUACCCUAAUAUUUCGUCGGCUAAACCCUAAACCCUAAACCCUAAACCUUAGCCGACGAAUACCCUAAUAUACGACUUGUUGCGUCUCAUCGAUUUGAAACUAUUUUCAGUUGAAGGUCCAGCCAAAAUACGUAAUUUAGACGGUCCAAUGACCUUUUCCGUGCGUUUAGGGGUUUGACUUAAGGGAUUGACCGUCCGGAUCGAGCCCUUAACCUUGUCGGAUCAAGUUGAAUUUUUUCCCAUAUAUGUAUUUUAUCAUGAUGGUCAGAUCUGAUGGUCGGAUUUUCGUUUCUCAAGUUUGAUCAUCACAAUCACAAUUUGACAUCAGAAUUAAACAAACACUCUUCAAAACAAAUUGAAGGACGAUCCCGUAACUUCCCUCAAAUACAUAGAGUCCGAAACCCUAACUUCCCCUCUGCCAUGUCACCGAUCCGCGUGACUCCUAUCAACUCAUUUUCCACCUUCAGAUUGCACACAUAACCGCCGUCCCUGACCGUCGGAUCGCACUCCGGAGGUCAUCCUCCUCCUUUAGAAAACCCACCUUUUAAAUUCUUGCUCUCUUUCAUUUCCUUCUCUGCAUCUCACUCUCUCCCAGACUCAAGUCUUCGUUUACAAAGAGAGCUCUCAUGGCCACCACUAAGUCCUCCAACGACGCACCGGCACCGGCGAAUCCAGCUCCACCGGCAAAUCCAGCUCCUUUUGGCGCAGCACCUCGAGAAGAUUAAGCAGAGCAGUGAGCUCGCUUUUGUGAAGAACAACUACAUGAAGCCUGACCCCAACGCGCCGCCUAAGCACGGCCGUGGCCGUCCUCCCAAGCCGAAGGUCCCGAGGGCUGAAGGAGCUGCUGCCAUGGUUUCCUCGCCUCUGAGGCCACAUGGCAGGCCUCCCAAGGCUAAGGAUCUGUUUUUCCCGACUCCGAUUGUCCAGAGCUCGACCUCGGGAGGAGGGUCAGGCAGGCCACGUGGCCGUCCUUUGAAGAAGGCCAAGACUGCUCCGGCUAACGCUCCUGCUGCUCUGACGAGUGGUGGUGGUAGUGGUGCUCCUAGAGGGAGAGGCAGGCCACCGAAAGUGAAGCCCUCCGUGGCUCCGGUGGGUUGCUGAGCUCACACUGAGAGUGAAAGUCGUUUAUGUUUUUUUUUCCUUUUUUAAUUUGGGUUAAUUUUAGGGUGCGUUGGAAUUUAGUGUUGGGCUAAUUGAUGGUCUAGCUUUCAUUAUCGCAGUGUUUGUUUAAUUUUCAUGUGUUGUGAGUGGUGUUGGCUUCUGUAUUUUGCAGGUUGCUUGGAAUGGUAAUUUAGAAAUAUCGGGUUUUUUUUUUACUGUAAUGGACUUAUAGCCGACAAAACAUUUAAGAUAUUCGUCGGCUAUAGUAUUUUAAUUUUUUUAUAAGGUUCAGCCGACGAAUUAUGGUAUGUUUCGUCGGCAAUAGUUAUUUUUUUAAUUUUUAAUUCGUCGGCUAUAGUUAUUUUUUAAUUUUUAUUAUAUACUUUAGCCGACGAAUAUCUUAAAUGUUUCGUCGGCUAAAGUCUUAUCUCAGACUAUGGUCGACGAAAUAUUUAAGAUAUUCGUCGGCUAAAUUCUGGGACAAUAGCCGACGACGUCUUCUAGUUUCGUCGGCUAAAGUAAUCGCUGACGACUUUUUCCCGACGAAACCAUAGCCGACGAAUUAAGCUAACAGGCCAACGAAACUUUUUCUUCGUCGGCUAAAGUGCUUGUCCUGGUAGUGAGUUUAAUGGGGUGAACCCAGCUUCAUAAUGCCAUCAGAAUCAAAGUAAAGCUGGAAACCAUCAAAAAAUGAAACUGAUCAGCAAGCUUACAAAUGCAUUGAUCAUUAUCACUAAGCAAGAUUAUAGAGAUAUAAUGCUUCUAUAAGCAAGAAUUACAAAUGCAAAUUACUUAAAGCAUUAAGAAACUCACAAGCCCAUGGUGAGUCUUGUAUCAAUGCCACUCUCUAUCUAGAAAGAAAAACAGUACCUUGGAGAACUUUUUAUCACGAUCAUAAUCAAGUCCAGGAGGGGCAUUCUGUAUGGUGGCUAGGGCUAACUAAGAUUAGACCAAGAUCGGAUUAUUUACAACUAACUGAGAUUAAACCAAGAUCGGAUUAUUUCCAACUAUUGAGAUUUAGCACUUCCAAUAGGGAAAUCAAUUUCACAUAGAUCAAAGAAUACAAAACCAAAUUCAUCAACAUGCUAAUAUGGUCCAAAACAGAUCGUAGUAUUCAUGCAACUAACUGAGAAUAUAAUUGCAUCUACAACUAUUCAAAAGAACAAAUCAUAUAACAUGGCAUAUGAGAUAAUAAGAUCGGUGUCCAAUUGAACAAAUGUCAGAUGGGAGAAUACUACGCCUUGUGCCUGAAAGAGAUGGAAGACUAGAGCUCAAGCAAUUUGAUCUUCACAAAUCUGUGUGAGGUGUGCUGAAGAACAUAAACAAGAAUAAUAUAGACUUAAAGAGAGAAAGUGAAUAUAUGUACAUGAUAAGACGUAUUUGCACACGCAUCAAUUAACCCUGUCAACAAAUCAAUCGUAGUAUAAAGCAAGCAGGGAUCGUUCUAAACCGGGGAUCCAACUACAGGGUAGAUCCAUCUAACCUAAUAUAAAUGUCGAAAUAAGCAUAUAGGGUUUAAAGGUUUGAUGAUUUCGAAAUAGACAUUGGAAAUAAAUCCUAAAUUACCUCUAUACAUAUUUACAUGUGAUCAACCAACAAUCAUGCAAACACAACCAAACAACCAUGCAAGAACAAAGAAGACGAUCUCUAAUCUCAUUUAAGUCCACAUCGUGAGCAAAUACACAACCUAAAUUUGAUAUGCACAUAAGUUCCUACGUGGUUCCUAUGACAUAGACAUACUUAGAAUUAGACUACGGGUUUCAUUCAACAUCGUGACACAAACAAGCACGGCUACGUGCUCUACUUAUAGGUCACACACAUAAACUAAUCAUGCAAUUACGUAUCACAUAAAGAAUCGAUGUGUUUAAGCACAAGUCCAAAUCAAACAUAGGUAGAAAAUCGGUGAAAUAACAAAAACAAUGCGACUUAUCAACUUCUUGUAUCAAAGUCGAACUUUGGAUGAUUAACACAUGCAAUAUCAACUACUUGUAUCAAUUACACAUGAAAAUAGAAGAAUGCACCGAAAAUCUUAAAGUAUAUAGACAUAAAACUCACGGCAUAAAACUUAAAAUCAUUGAUUAUAAAUUGUAAACUUUAAUUCAAAACAUGGCUCAAAAGUACCUCUAUCUCAUAGACAAGAAUCGAAACAUACUUAAGCAAAAACCUAAAACAAACAUAAACAAGAACAAACACAUUAUAAUCCGAAAGUAAAAGAUGACGCGGCUCGUUACCGGGCGCGUAAUUUAAAAACCCUUUUUUAUCAGAAUGUAGUAUUGGCAAAUAGGGUUCGAUCAAUCCGGGGACCUAAAGGGCGCUCCUGCAGUCAUGGUUACACUAAAGAAUUAGUAACAGAAAGUAAUUACAAGUAUUCAGUUACAAAUAUACACAUGGUACAAUAGAUAAAAAGGGGGGGUUUGAAGGUUUGUUUACUAAAUUCCUACGAAAACAGUAGGGAAAAGAAAUAAACUACUAUUUACAAGUGAUCGACUUCCACACUUUCGAAACCAGAUUCCAGAAAACAUAAUCGUAAUCUAAUGAACUUUAAUCACACAAUUGAGUUAUCACCAAAGAGAAACACAGAAGGGUUCUAAAUACAAGCCUACGAGGUCAUGCAUUUAAUCGGUUCUUCUAAAUAGUCAUCCAAGCUAAAACGUCUGAACUUAGAACAUUUUACAUGCUGCUGCUAUCAAUACUGUAAGUAUCUGUCUACAAACAUGCAAAUCAUUAAGUAAAAGAACGAACCCUAACAUGCAAAGAGUUUACGUACGACGCUUAACCAUUCACAUGCAAAACAUGUUCCUAACCAUACAGGAUAUGGCCUCCACUACUGGUGAUCUAUACUUACCAACGAGGCUUAGCACAGAUCAUAGCAUUAGUUAGCAUGCAUUCUAACGUAGGUAAAUCAAACACAAACAUGCUUCCAACGAAUUUCUAAGGCAACUGACUCAAUCGCAUAAUAUCAUUAGAACAAUGAAAUCAUAACUAUUAUUAUCUGAAAAUCACUUAGUUCUCAACAAAGAUUCCAUCCAAUUCGGAAAAUAAAACACAUGGUUCUUAAAUGAAACCUAAAAACAAAAGAAGAUGGCCAGAAAGUACUAGACAUAGAUUUACACUUUUCAAUGGACUGAUUGGCCGAUCAAGAACUUGAGGUCGUGCAAGGCUGUGCUAGGGCUUUAGUACUCCCUAGAACGUCCGAGGCAGCAAGGGCUUCUCUUCUUCUUCUUCUAGGGACUCACGGCAAUGAGAGAAACUAAGAGAACGUUUCUGAAUUUCUAAAGCGUAGGAAGUGAUGCUGAAAACGUUCCUCUCUGCUCCUUUAUAUAGUGGUCAUGUCGACAUAGGGUUUUACUCCACACCAUUGAUUAAAAUCUGAUCCAAGGGCCAUAAAUAAUAGCACAAUAUUUUCAGAGAAUAUUCCUUAGAAUUCUCUAGAAUAUCUUGCACAUUAAGAGUUUGAAUCCGGCUGGAAUUGUGGUUGAAUACAUUGCUUGUUUUCCAAAUUGAAAUCGGCUUGAAUCUCUCCUUGUUAAUUACCGAUUUGCUGCUGAUAAUUCUUCCCAUAUUUGUGCCAUUUAAUGUCCCUAGAAAAGGAAUAUAAAUCAGAUAUAAACUCUAGGAAUAUUAGGAAUUUAUAUGGAGAAAUAAAAGGUAAGAAUUUCCCUUAAUUUCCUUGAUGUUUGCUGCAUUAGCUCCAUAUAAAUUCGGCUGGAAACCCUAAAAAGAUGGUGCCAUUCUCCUCCUUUUAUGUGACAGAAUUUCGGCCUAAUCCAUGUAGGAUUUGGUUUCCUUGCUUCAUGUGGAAUCCCUGUCUCAAGAGGAAAGAAAGUUUCCAAAAGAAUUCAGGAAAGUCAAAAUAGGAAAGAUUCAAAGUUAGUAAGUUUCCCCAAUCAAAAUAGGAAAGUUUCCCAAAAUGAAAUAGGAAAGUUUCUCCUUAUCAAAACAGGAAAAUUUCCUAAACGACUUAUCCUUCUUAAUCCGCCGGUUUUAACUUCCUUUUUCACUUUUCCGCUCUUUUAUCUUUACAAUCAUAAAACAUGUUUAAAAUGACAAUGUUCAGAGAAUAACAUAACUAAAUAAGGUAGGAAAUACGUUAAUAUCGUAGCACUUUGUGCUCCUAUCAAAAGAUGAAAUACACUCUCAGAAUAUCCCUACUUGUUCUAUUCUUCGAGUGAGCGGAACCCUAGGCUACUUGCUUUGGAUCAAGGAUGAUGGUGGGUUUGGAUUAUGGUGUUUGGAGAAUGAUGAAGUUUUGGCAAAGCUUUGGUGUUAUUUUGCACGGGUUGAUGAUAAUUAAUUGCUGCCAUACUGUGCCCUAUUUAUAGAGUAACAAGACUUGAUCUCCAAGAAUUCCUCAAGCACAAGGAAUCCUAUUGAAUCGGCAAAACCAAGUCCAAGUUGGAUUUAACUUCCUCUCUUGUUCUUCAAGUAAUCCUCAUGCAUUAAGGAAUGACAAAACCAUCUUGAACUUGGAAAACCUUCUCUUAGGCCGCACGGUUUCUCUCUCCUUGGUGACUUGGGAAAUCUUCACGGCAUCUCCAUACAUAUCUCGGAUUGUACUUCUCCUAGCUCAAGCAGGAACUCCUAGCUGCUGGCCACAUUUCCCUCAUAAGUCAGGAAAACAUUUCCUAAUCAACACGGGUUUAGACUUUCCUGAAAUAGAAAUAAGAAAAUUAGAAACUAGGAAAGAGGAAAGAUGGAAUCCUGAUCAAGACAGGAAUCCUGAGUAAACAAGGAUUUCCAACACUUAGCACAAUUUCAACACCAAAUUAUUCAAAUCCGAAAAUUCUAUGAAUUCUAAUACUAAAACACAAAUAUAAAGCUAAAACAACUAAAUAGGAGUUAACAAAGGGUAAAUAAAGGGUAUAAACAUAUUAAGAACGUCACACUUUGUGCUCCUAUCAGUACGCUUUCGCUUUGUGCCUGUUAUUCCACCUCAUAGAGAAGGAGAUGGGAGAACCAGGGCUCAAACAAUUUGAUCUUCACAAAUUUGUGUGAGGUGUGCUGAAGAACAUAAACAAGAACAAUACAUACUUACAAAGAGAAAGUGAAUAUAAUAUAUGUAAGCUUUGUGCCUGUUGUUCCAUCUCAUAAUCAUGUUUGUGUUGUCUUAAGCUGCAAUUGUGGCCAACUCAAACAAUUAUACCAUAAACCCGUCAAAAAAUUUGGGGAAAAUCUAUAUAAAAAAAAACCCUAAAAUCCAGAGGAAAAUGGUGAGUGAGUACAUACCUUCUUCGGAUCUCCGAGUCGGGUCCAUGUUCUUAAACUCCUUGUGGAUUCAAGACUAGAGCGCGCCUUCAUCGGAUCUAUCGUCAACAUCCAGUCCAUUUUAUCGGAUCCAUCGAAUUCUAGCGUCGGAACGUUAUCGAUUUCGACCAAUUCUUCGACAACAACCAGAUCUGAUUCUUCGACAACUCCGAGCCCAAUCCCGUCCUUCUUCUUCACCGCCAACAACUUGGCCAGGAUGAAGAUUAUGGUCCUCACGUCUGGUAGGCAGGAGAGAGAGAGAGAGAGAGAGAGAGAGAGAGAGAGAGAGAGAGAGAGAGUAGAAGUGCAUAGAUCCUGUAAUGUGAAGUAGAUGGAGAUAGGAUAUUAGAGGAGUAAUUUUAUUACUGAAGAGUGUUUCAAGCACUAUUAUUUCACAGUCUUACAGCAACCAAAGCAGCCUAGACUCAACAGCCCUAACCGUGCUCAAGAGUCCUAGCUACAUAUAUAGUUCACAAAAUGAUACAAACAAGUUUAUUUUAAAUACAUACCACAACCACAGAUGGUUUUAGUUCUUAGGGAAGUAGCUCCACUACACAACUCAUAAGUAGUAGCAUAACAGGUCUGGGAUGGUUUGUCACAAUGAAACAGCAGAUGACAACUAGAUAUCAAUCGGUGCAGCAGCGAAACAUGAAGAACUUCUCCAUCUCACGACCACACUCGGUACACACCACUUUGUCCGGAAUGUCUGGACCGAACCCAGGAAUGAUCAAACGAGUACAAUGAUGUGGCUCGUGAAGCUGUUUGAGCUGGUUUUUGAGUUCAGGCAAAAAGCCUAACUCAGCAGCUGCAGGUUUCCAGGCCUCAAAGUCGUCAAGCGUGAUAGUAGUCAGGUGUCCAUUAGCUCUAACAGUAUCAGCUGAGCCCAACCACAACAUAACCCAACCAUGGUCACUUCCAUCAUAGCUAAAUAAACUCAUGACCUCUCUCAGUAUAGUAUCAUCGUCUAUAGUCUUGUGGUGCUUAGCCUUUGAGCACCUCAUGCUGUCAAGUCGAGACCAAAAGAACCAGGUGGAUGUGUAAUCAGACCAGUUGCGACUGAGAUUCUCAGCAUCAAUAAUUCUGUUAAGUUUCCAGAGUUUCUCUUUUGAGGCGGUGCUUCUUCCUGCAUAAACCAAUUCCAAGGGAAUACCUGUACGUUUUGCCAUUGUUUGUCAAACAGUUGGUUCGACUGUUCGAACUAAGACUUCUAGCGAUGAAGCCGAUAAUGUCAAGAGUUUAUCCGAUGUGCAAGGUGAAUGGCGUGCAAUUUAUAUGUGAACAGAGAGAUAGCAGACGGAGAACACAGAAUUCUGGGGUGAUGGCGCAUGGCGGGCGGAAUGGAGUUGACUAUUACGGUGUUCUUGAUUCAGUGGUGGAACUCGUUUACGGUGAAAGCAUGACAGUGCACCUCUUCAAGUGUAGAUGGUUUGAUACUAGCCCGCAGAGCAUGAAGACCGAUCAGUACGGAAUAUUAUCGGUGAACACUGCUACAAGUUCUUACGAAGAUGACCCGUUCGUUUUUGCCACAUCGGUAAAACAAGUGUUUUAUCUUGAUGACCUUGCUAAGGGUGACGCGUGGAAAGUAGUCAACCUUGUGCACCCUCGAAACAUUUACCGGGCGGCUACACUUGGAGAGGCCGAAGACCAGGAAGAAGAUGUUGCGUAUCAAGAGCCCAACGCAAUAGGUAUUCCUAACUCCUCUACCGUUCGCCUUAAUAAUUUUAAAGCGGGUCGUUCGGUGCGAAUUCGUGAUGAAGAGCCAAGGCUUAUUGAUGUUGAUCCAAAUCAAGAAACAGACGAAGACUCUGGCGAUGAGGAAAUACAUUGAUUACCAGAAAUUAAUUCUGACACCGAAGAAGACUCAUCGGAUGAUUCCGAUUACGAGCCUUAGUUUUAAUUUAGAAGACGUAAUACAUUAAUUUGUAAUAAAAAAGAUUGUAUUACCUUAUACGACUUGUUGUGUCUCAUCGAUUUGAAAAUAUUUUUAGUUGAAGGUCUGGCCAAAAUACGAAAUUUAGUCGGUCCAACGACCUUUUCCGUGCAUUUAGGGGUUUGACUUACGGGAUUGACCGUCCGGAUCGAGCAGUUAACCUUGUCAGAUCAAGUUGAAUUUUUUCCCAUACAUGUAUCUUAUCAUGAUGGUCAGAUCUGACCGUCGGAUUUCAUUUUCUCAAGUUUGAUCAUCACAAUCACAACAUGCCUACUAAUGUUGUAUAACUUGUUUACCGAGUGUUAAGUAAAUGUUCCGUUUCAAAAACAAACUAUACAUAGAACCUUCAAACGUAAAAAAGUCAUGAAAUAAGACAUGACCAGAAUGGUGAAAUACGUCUACGGUUGAAAAAUCACGGUAUUCUGGUAAAGUAUCGGUGCCGAUAGUUGCGGUCAAUGCAAUUUUCCAUUCUUUCUCCCUAUGGGUAGCCCUAUCUUCGGUGGUUAUUUUGCGUAAAAUUUUUAUAGGACUUGUUGCGUCUCAUCGGUUUGAAACUAUUUUCAGUUGAAGGUCCAGCCAAAAUACGUAAUUUAGACAGUCCAAUGACAUUUUCCGUGCGUUUAGGGGUUUGACUUAACGGAUUGACCGUUCGGAUCGAGCCCUUAACCUUAUCGGAUCAAGUUGAAUUUUUUCCCAUACAUGUAUUUUAUCAUGGUGGUCAGAUCUGACGGUCGGAUUUUCGUUCUCAAGUUUGAUCAUCACAAUCACAAUCACAGUUUGACGAAUGGUUAAUUGUUUUAAAGCAGACGAAUUUCAAAGGUUUAGCCGACGAAUUUAUUGUUUAGCCGACGAAUUUCAAAGGUUUAGCCUCCUCCUCCUCCCUCUCCCUCUCCGGCCUCCUCCUCCGGCCCUAGCCUCCUUCUCCUCCUCCUGCUCCGGCCGGCCGGCCUCCUGCUGCUCCGGCCUCCUCCUGCUGCUGCUCCGGUCCUCCCUCCUCCUCCUCGAGUACAUUUCUAAACUUUAGUUAUAUUUUGUGUUUGCUUUUAUUUUUCGGUCAAUUGCAAUGUUGUGGUGUUGUUAGGAAGUGUAUAUUUGUAUUUAGGAAGUGUAUAUUGUUAUUUAAUAAGUGUAUAUUUGUAUUUAGUAUUUAGGAAAUGUAUAUAUUUGUUUUGUAUUUUGUGUUUGGUUUGAUUUUCCGGUUAAUUGCAAUGUUGUGGUGUUGUUAGGAAGUGUAUAUUUUUAUUUAUGAAGUAUAUAUUUAGGAAGUGUAUGUGUAAAUUUUAGGAAGUGAAAAUGUAUUUAGGAAGUGUAUAUAUUUUUUACAUUUUUUAAAUGAGUUUGCAUUUUUUGAUUUUGUGGCCUUGAUUCAAAUUUAUAUUUUAAAUAGGAUGAGCGGUAAUAUUGGAUCGACGAAGGGUUCGAAGGGCCAAAAGUCCGUAUCGUCUGAGGGAACCUCUAGCAACCCUCAGACAUCGUUUCAGGGUCUCAUGACAGCUAGACAUGAGAGCCUUCUGCAGACGGCGCAGAGGUAGCCGGAGAUGGGCCCUUCAUCAAGGCAGCGGGGCGUCCCUCAUAUCUCGAGGCAGUUGUUUACUCAGACCCAGACGGAGGUGUCUGCACCCCGUAUGCCUGAGAUACACCGGGCGCCCACUCCAGGUCCUACUUCUUCGGAUAGUGGGUCAUCUGGGGUACAGAUGCCGCCGCCUCAUCUAUAUCUUCCGCGGAUGAUACCGGCCAUACCUGUAGUCGAUGACUCAGGGACGCCGAUUUAUCCACUGCCCCCGCCAGUGGCUCCAUCAGCGGCGUACUGGUUCGUGCCUUUUGAUACGCCUCUUAUUUCCGCGAGGGUAUCAUCAUCGGAGACGGAAUCCGUCGCGUCCGCCUCCUCGCCCUUAGGUAAUGAAAGAUGAAUGAUUUGUUUUCUUAUAAUUCUUCGAUUUUAAUAAUCAAUUUGGUUUAUCAUGUGAUAGGCACCGUCGGAGCGAAGCCGACAAAAAAGAAGAGAGGCCCCGUCACAGGGAAGGCUCUCGAGAAGAUCGUCGGUACCUCAGGGAGGAUUGUCAUCGGUACUGAUGGGGAUGGCGACGUAGUAUCGGGCGGGAAGUCGAGGACGUACUCCGGCCGUGUGGGAGCGCUCAUUAGGGAUAGAGUCCCCAUGUUGUGGUCAGACUGGGGCGAGGUCCCGCAAGAGGUUAAGGACAUUGUCCACAACGCGAUGUCGGUGAGUUUACAAAAUGCCUUAAUAAUAUUAUGUAUUAUAGUUUAGAUUUCUCGAAAAACUAAACUAAUAAACGGUUAAAUGCAGGUGUGGUUUGAGGUUCCCGAGCCCUUGAAGAGCAGCUGGGCGGACAUUGUGCAUGGGGGAAGGUACAUUGGGAUUAAUGAAAAAACAAAAUUGUAUGUCAUAUUAAUAAUAUUUCUAAUAUUUUUGUUGUAUAUGUAGGUACAAGGAGUGGAAGAACGAGUUGCGAACCCAUUGGACUACGCACGGGAACGCACGUUCUGCUACCCCUGCUGAGUUCCAGUACAGAGAGUAUGAGUGGCGUUGGCUUCUGACAUCAGAAUUCAACAACCCUCGUAAACAGGUAUUUAAAUAAAUUAAUUAGUGAAUUUGUCAUUAAGCACGUGCGUUUUUAAAUAUUUUACUAAUAGUUUUGUUUUUUCUUUGAAGGCGGUUUCCCGGGCGAACGCUCAGAACCGGCAACGCAACACAAGGAACCAUCAUGCCGGUUCUAGACCGUUCGCUGUCUUCAUGGACAAGGCGGCCAGGGAACAUCCAGAGGUCAACCAGUACGUCUAUACGUACGAGAAGGCAUAUCCUGACUCCCAGGAGGAUAUAGUAAGUAAUCUUUCCUUUUUACAAAAUUUUUAAUUUUACUUAUAUAUAUGUCAAAAUGUUAAUUAAUAAUUUUUUUUCUAUCCAAUUAGGCAAAGGUGAUGGAGGCUAGUGACGAGGUGAUGAGUGCUAUAGUGAGGGAGACAUGGCCGGACACGCAAGAGGAAGAGAUGUCCGAAGCCAUUUCCCGGAUCGACACUUCAGAUCCGAGGGUUGGGGCGAGGAUCAUGGGCACAGCCUUCCCACCGCGAGAAAACAACUUCUACUGCCGGGGUCUAGGAAAGAAGGGUCAGGGGGUCUUGAAGACCACUCCAGGAUUUUAACGAAAGGCAGCCUCGACCAGCAGCAGGACGACUCAGCUAGAGUCGGACGUUGAGAGACUACGGGAACAGCAAGCCUCUCAGGCUGCUGCUCAGGCUGACGCUCAUGCUGCUCAGGCUGCCGCUCAUGCCGCCCAGAUCGCCGAAUAUAGAGCCUAUGCUAGAGCCCUACAUGCCGCCCAGCAGGCCCAGCAUCAGCAGAUGUUCUAGUACUUCUAGGAUUUUACAGCUGCCCAGCUUCAGGGACUUCCACCUCCGCCCAUGCUUGCGCCUAUACAGUUACCUCUACCGCCGCAAUCUCCUCACCAGCAGGCCCCAGAAUCGGAUCUUGAUUUAGACCAUUUAGAUUUUGUGUAGUUGAUACCUUAUAUAGUUUUAUAUGCUUCUUGUUGGUUAUAUAUAUGGAAUUGUUUUGGUGUAUUUUGCAGCUUGCUUGGAAUGGUAAUUUAGAAAUUUCGAGUAUUUUUUUUUACUGGAAUGAAGUUAUAGCCGACGAAACAUGCCACAAUUCGUCGGCUAUAGUUUUUUAAUUUUUUUUCCAUAGGGUUUAGCCUACGAAUUAUGGCAUGUUUCGUCGGCUAAACCCCACUAAAGCCAACGAAACAGACUCUAUUUCGUCGGCUAUAGUUUUUUUGAAUUUUUUCAUUAAAUACUUUAGCCGACGAAUUCUGUCGGCUAAAGUCUGGAACAAUAGCCGACGAAUAUUUCUGUUUCGUCGGCUUAAGUUUGGGAGUAUAGCCGACGACGUCGUAUUUCGUUGGCUAAAGUCUGGAACAAUAGCCGACGAAAUAUAGUGUCUGUUUCGUCGGCUUAAAUGCAUGAAUAAAAGCCGACGACAAAAUAGUUCGUCGGCUAAAGUCUGGACAAUAGCCGAUGACAGUCUCUAGGUUCGUCGGCUAAAGCCAUCACCGACGAGCCUUUCCCGACGACACUAUAGCUGACGAAUUUGGAUAACAAGCCGACGAAAAUUUUUCGUCGGCUAAAGUGCUUGUCCUGGUAGUGAACCUAACUCUGGGCUCAUUAUGCUGGGAGACUUUCUCCCGUUACAUUAGGAGACGUAAUUGAAGAGGGACCCAUGGAUCCCAGCUUAACCAUAUUUAAGGUAUUGGGUUUUAAUCACAAAAGACAUCAGUACAAUUAAGUGUGAUCCAUCCACUUAUAAGUUGUAUUUUAUUUAUCUCUUUUCUGAUGUGGCAUGGGAUCUUUCCUCUCCAACAGAGAAGUUUAUCAAUAACUGUUAAUCUUGGUUUGGUAGAAAAUGAAAGAUGAGAUCAUUUGUUUUCAUGAUCUCAUAAGCAGCAUCUGCAGAUGAAACUAUGAUCACAUGUCGGGAACCAAAAUGAAGCAUCAUGAGUUCACCAUGGUACUUGAUGUAUCCAUUAUAUGCUAUGUUUUUAUACCUUUAAAUCUCGGAUUUGUAUUAUACUUUCUGUCACAUCCUGGUUCUUAAAUUAUUUUUAUCGUUGGGUUACUUUGAUCUUUUACUGUUUUGAGUAACCGUUUACUAUUUAAGGACCCUAGAGUUGACUUUUCGUAAGAAAAUUAUUUUGGAAGAAUUUUUAAAGGACGUCGAUCGUAGAAGACGUUAAUACGAAUAUCCGUAGACAUGCUAUACGUUAAAAUCGGAGUUGGUAUGAAAAAGAUAUGGUGUAAAGACUAAAGUUACUAUUUUUGGUCAGUGGUAUAAAAUGGUCCAAAGGUGGAAAGUCAAAAAAGUAAAAAAUCAGAACUCACCUUCUCUCUCUCUCUCCUCCUUCUUGUGUCUCUCUCCCACAACAGAUUCUUCAUCGCCGUUCGCUACCGUCCGACCGAGUUGGGCGGCAAGGUUGGUAUCAAAUCGAAGCUUGGACAUCCCUUUUCAUGUUUAGGUAGGUUGUUGGCCGUGUCGUGUUGCCUUGAGGGAGAAAUCAUGCCGAGAAGACGAGGCUGUGCGUGGUGGAGUUCAGCUUGAAACUCCCUCCUUCGGCCACCAUCGUCAGAGAUCCUUGUAUUAACUUGAAGCUCUCCUUUCAGGUAGCAAACCCUCAAAAGGAUUCGAUCCAAUUCAGGCUAGGUAAGGAGAAUCAAAGCUUUGAAAUUCUAGGGUUCUUGAUUUUGGGAUUUUCUGUUUUGGCUCGAUUCGCAUUUUUAGACUUAAAAUUGAUCUUCGGGCUAGUUAUGAAAGUUGUUUAAAAUGUUGAGACGAUGAUUGUGUUAAAUUUUGGUGAGCAUUGGAGGUGGCCGGAAUUCGGGCUGGCCGGCCGCCGUUGCCUGCGAAGCAGACGGCAGCGCUGCCUCUUUUGGGUUGUUUUUCAUGUUAUUUAAUUUGUUAUGAUGAGAGGAGUCCAAUGGUGUAAAGUUUAUAAUUUUUAAAGGAGUUUUGGUUAUGUUUGAGAUUUUUCAAAAUUGGUGAACUUAGCGGUUGAUAGGAUAGAAUCCGAUCAUUGGAUUAGUGUUAAUUAAACUUCAGAAAGUUGUUUUAAGGAUUUUGAUGCUUGUGGUGAAGUUUGAGUCUUAUUGGUCUACGGAUGGAGAAGUUGGGCAAGGGUGAAGGAUUUAUAGGCUCACUUUUAUUCUUGCACUUUUUUUUAAAGUAUCGAGUUAGUCUUGAGACAUAAUAAUAUCUAUUGUUCAAGACGUGAGGAGGAUCGUGUUGGGAGACCUCGGAUCGAUGGCAGACAUAGUCGUAUACUGUGAGUGGACAUUUCGGUUUUUAUUAAAUAUGUACGCAUGACUUUAUAAGUUAUCGUUAUUAUUUUUACCGAGCUUAUAUAUUAUAAUUUUGGCUUAUGACUUGGAUCAUAAAUUAUUUGAGAUCGUUAAUAAUUUAUGGAUUUGAGCUUGAGUUAUUAAUUUGGUAUUUGAGUUUUGUUAUUCUUUAUGAUUCCCGGAUUUAAUUAUUAUCGUCAUUAUUUGUUGACCUUGAGAUUUAUAAAAGAUUACCGAAGAUGAGAUUUCCGAUAGGUCUCAAUUUAUAAUUUCCUCGUUUAUUGUGGAUGUUCGAUUUUGACAUUGAGAAUAUUUUAGUGAGUAUUUCGGGUUGAGAAAUUCUUUAAUUUACGAUUUAUACUUGAUAAUUAAGUCUCGCUGAUAAAUAUAGAUUUGAGAAUAUUUUGACAUGCGAGACAUGUCAUUGAAUAUUAUUUUAAUUUCAUAUAAUAAUCUCCAAGUACGGUUGGGAAUCGUACCAUUUGCAUGAUUUUGGGGAAGCUUUAUGGAUUUAAGUGAUUUUGUAUGUUUUUAGUCACCAUACUAGGGUCACUCUUAUUCAUUACUAGCUAUCUUUUAUUAGCGGUCCUCACCAUAGGUGAGUCGAGUGCUUAACGUGGGAUGUUAUUGUAACCUGGGAGGCUCUGAUUGGUUUUAUUCAUUGUUAGCUAGCCAUUAUUAGCGAUUCUCACCAUAGGUGAGUUGAGCAUUUAGAGUGGGACGUUACUAUCUUAUUCAUUGUUAGCUAGCCUUUAUUAGCGGUCCUCACCAUAAGUGAGUCGAACCUUUAACAUGAGACGCUACUAGAGCCUAGGAGGCCCCAAUCGGUUUUUAUUCAUUGCUAGCUAACCAUUAUUAGCCGUCCUCACCAUUGGUGAGUCAAGCCCUUAGCGUAAGAUGCUAGUAGAGCCUGGGAGGCUCCGACCAGAGCCUGGGAGACUCCUCUUAUAUGGUGAUAUCUCUUUCCCUUGUGUAAUUUUUCUCAAGUUGUGUAUUUGAUUAAUCAACGGGGCUGGUUUGUCUAUUCUUAUGUGGUUGCGGACAAUAAGCCGAAUGUUUGAUCAAGGUUGCUUGCAUCAAAGAGGUUUUAAAGUUUAAACAUGGGAAAGUAUCUGAAUAAGAUUUUGUUAAAUUAUUUAAUUUUAUUUUUGUCCACUCACUCUAACUUCUUUUAAUUACUUUCCUCUGGGCCAUUCGGUUUCAGAUGCCCAGUUUGCAGGUUAGCUUAGAAGAGGUUAGGUGUACACGGAGUUCAGCUAUAGUCAAUAACAUAGCUUUCGCUGGCUUCCUUAUCUAUGUUUUCUUUUCUUAUUAGAAUUGCUCUGAUUACCUUUGAGAUUGUUGUGUUCUGGGUGUUGAUGCAGUGCUGGGAGCAGGGUGACUCUAGGAGUUGAGGGUGAUUUUUUUUUAUUAUAAAAGUGUAUGUUUGGAUUUGGCAUGUAGGGUUGUACAUUUUCAAAGGAGGUUAUGGACCCCGCAGGGUUUACUCCGGAUUUCAAGAGGAAAUUCAGGAUGGGUCCUGACACUUUCAAGUAAUUUAGUUCAAUUUUACUUAGUUUGUCGUUUUUCAGGUUCAAAGAGCAAGGAGAAGCAAUUGGAGCAGGAAGGAUUGAAAGCGACAUAGCAAUCCCGAAUUCUGGGCAGUGAGGCUAUGCAGAUCAGCCAACUUCGCCAAAUCACUGAGAGCAACUCAAAUCGAAUCAGAUGAUGAGCCUUAUAGCAUUACAAAGCUACAAAUGUCUUCUUUCUAUAGCAUUUUACGAAUCUCUAUUUUGAUACUUCUAGAGUCAGUUACGGUCAUUUGAAUGAAGAUAGGUCAUAUCAGGAAAUCUGCACGGGUUUGCAUACAUUCAUGGAGAACUCAAGUUCCAUGGCACAAGAUCUCCAAUCCUUAUGCUUCAAUGAAGUUAAUUCAGACGAGGAUGCAAAGAAUACAUGUAUUCCUAGUUCUACAAGAGAUAUUUCAAAUUCCAUAUCAAGAAAGGAGUCUGAUUUCAAGUCUUACAAGGAAACUUGAAGCCAAAGAUGAGCAGGAAAUCUCCCUUAUAUAAGGAGCACGAAUUUCACAAAGAAAGAGCUUCCAGGACGUGACAUACUUGGAGACAGCCAUCAUCACCUAUCUUUCAUCCAUUUUCCCUUUUAGUCUUUUUAUGUGUUUCAUUGUUUUCGUUAUGACUUUUAGUAGCUAAAUCUUUUGUUAGGGCCAUAAUGGAUCCUUAGCAUGACUAUUCGAUGUUUAUAGUUAGAUGAUUACUUUAUUAUUGGAUUGGUGUUGAGUUUUUAAUCUCUAUAAGAAUUGUUGCUUAUUUCAAAAUACUAGAGUCUCACGACCCUUAGGGUUUUGUUUUAAGCUAUUCAAUGCAAGAGUAGGUAGAUGCCAAUGCUGAAUCUUGAAUGCUUCUUGUGAUUAAAAACCAUAGAUUGAUAAGAUAGAUACCAUGUUUUAUUGGUUUAUGUGAGUCCUUUUGUUCUCAUUGAACUUCAUUGACCCUUAGAGAGUAUAUGUCAUACUUAUAAGAAUAGUUGAAUACUGUACUCUGCCAUAAGGUAGUAUUCAUGCUUUGGAGAACUCUCAUAUGAUGGAUUCUUCAACACCGGUUUAGUAGUUAGUAAUCGGUAGACUAGGAACUCGAAUAGGAUUGUGACGGUGAAGUUGGAAGCCCUAGCGUUUGUCCAUCGUUGUUUUCAAAACCCUUUCAAAACAUCUUCUCAAUCAAUUUGCUUGUUUUACUCUUUUCUCAUUGUUUACAAAAAUUACAAAAAUAUCUUCUUAUUUUCUUGUCAGUUGUUAGACUAAUUUGAUCAAUUAGUUAGAAUUGAAAGUUAGUUAUCCAUACCUAGUUGGAACGACCUCGUACUUGCAUAAGCUAUACUGUAAACGAUUCGUGCACUUAUGAAGUUAUUAAAAUUUGACAACAAGUUUUUGGCGUCGUAGCCAUAGUUUCUUUUUUAUUAGCCUUUUAGUUUCGUUUGUUUUUAGUCAUUGUUUUGUUUUAUGUGUAUUGAUUGAACAGUUAACUAUUCAAUUUUGAUUAAGCUAUUGUCCCCAGUGUUCAACAAGCAUUCUAAUUAUCUUCUGUUGAGCAGAUACUAGAGUAUUAUAUGUCAUUGGAAAGCUCUUCGAGUCUAGUUUCCAACUGGAGAAGCAUAUCAUGAAUCCGAUACUCAAGCAAAAAGUUAUUCACAGAAAAGUGGGCAGAGGUCAAAGCUAAGAAGUUCCUAGAAACCUGUUGUUCAAUCACUUGAAUUCAUAAUGGGUGAUCGUGCGUUGGUAAACAAUGAUCCACCAAAGAAGUUGUGCGAGUAUACUGCACCAACAACCUAUGAUGCACCUUUGUGUAUUGUUUUGGCACCUAUUGCGCAGCAAUUUGAGAUAUGCCCUACAACAAUCCAACUUCUACCUAUAUUCUAUAGGAAGGAGAAUGAGAAUCCCUAUAACCAUCUCAAAGGCUUCUUUGCUAUAUGUUCCACAUUCAAUUAUCAAGGAGUCACCAAGGAGCAGAUUCGACUUCGCUUGUUCCCGUUUUCUUUGAAAAAUAAAGCACAAAACUGGCUUAACUCUCUUAUGGAAGGCUCUAUCACCACCUGGGUGGAAUUGUCUAAAAAGUUUCUUAGCAAGUUCUAUCCGGCUCACAAGACGAAUGCAUUAAUCUCUGAGAUCAUGUCCUUAAUUUGCUCAACAUAUAUUGGACUUGUUCCCCUCCAUUUUAUGAGAAAUAAAGACUCGACCUUAAACCCUAAGGCCGAGUCCUGUUGUGCUUUAAAGAUUAUUGUGUUUUUGCACGGGUCUUUGGUUUCAUGUCCUCCCUGUUGUUUUCUCAUUUAUUGUUAAUUAUCACUUUGGUCACGCCUGAUUUUGGCAUGUGUUUUAUAUUUUAUAAUCUUGGCAAAAUCACUUCUUUGACGAACACACACCAUUUCAUUUAUCAAACGUACUGUGCAUUGAAACCAGUGGCCAAUAUUCAAACACUGGCCAUUUUUUUUCCAUGUUACACUAAUCAAUAUUCAAUCACAGACUUCUGUGUUUGAUACUUUUGAGUUAUUUAAAGAUAAAAUUAGAUAAAGAGUGCGGCUAUUGGGACCUCCAAAUUUGCUCAGUAUACCUCUCAUUCUCUCUACACCUCCCUUUUACUUUUCAAUAUAAACAUUUUCUCACUAGACCUCAUUUCAAAUUCCUAACAUAACCUUAGUUAUUUAUUGACAUAUAUUUCAAUUAAUUACCUACUUUAACUCUUAUUCACUCAAUAGACCUCUCAUUCAUUUUUUUUUUACCUUUUUGUUUUUGAACAUCCAUUAUCCCUACGGACCCUACCUUCAUUUUUUGAUUAUUUUUUUCAUGCAAGAAAACGUUUUAUCAUGAACUAUUCUAUAUAUCUUUUUAACUUUUGUUUUUCUCUUCUGUACGUGUUGUUUUUUUUUUUCUGUUUUUUUAUUUUGAAUAGUUUGAUCUAUAUUUUAUACCUCAUAAUAAAUUAUUUUAAUAAAUAUAUAUUUUCUAUAAUCAAUAGAGAUAUAUAUAUAUAUUUUUUUUNNNNNNNNNNNNNNNNNNNNUCACAUAAUCGAUAUUUGAUCAUUGUUUUAGCUCUUAUAAACUAUAUAUAUAUAUAUAUAUUUAUAUAUAUGCUUUAAUAAAAAGAAAUUAGAAAACAAAAAUAUAUAAGGAAAAUAAUAAAUAAUGUAAUCAAUUAUUAUUGAAUUGGAAAGUCUAAAGAGAAUAAAUAUAAUAUUUCCUUUUGUAUAAUUAUUGUCCUUAAUAGUCAUUGUGUAUGAGGAUAUAUAUGUCAUUUAAUAAUUCAUAAUAAAGUGAGGUCUAGUGAGCAAAUUUGGAGGUCCCAAUAGUCGCACUCUUAGAUAAAAACCUAAAAUACUAGACCUCUUUUAAGAUAAAUCCAGACAUAUUUUUCUUUCAUUUUACACUCACUCCACAUAAGCAAACUUACAAUAUAGAGCAAAUGUCUAUAAUUAAUAGUUUUAUUCAUUUUUCGGUUUAUCUGAUUUGUCUUUCAGACGGUAUAAAUCUAAAUUUGGUAUCUUUCUCAAUUUUAGCAUCAAUUUGAAACUCAAUACUGAGCUAAAAUUUAGUUGGAUUUAACUUUGUUAUAAUCAAUUAUAUUCUUUAAUUUCUUACCUUGUUAUUACUAACUUGAGUGUAUAUAUAUGCUAUUAUGUCAUUUGUAAUAGAAUGAUUUUUUUCAUUCAUAAGCUCACAUUUGGUGUCUCUCUACAUAGUUGAAAAAUGUAUAAUUGUAAGGUACACGUUCUUGUUCUUUGAUUAAUUUUCUUCUUUUUAGAUAUAUUAUUAUAUUAUUUCCAAUCCUGAUCGAGAGAACAUUUUACUCUCAACUACUUACAUUUUUAAUGUACCUAUUAAGUAGGACAUGAUAUGAUAAUAUACCUAAAAAGAAGAAACCCAAAAUUGGGUUUAGGGUAUAGGACUAAGGUAUAGGGUUAGGGUAUAGGGUUUAGGGUUUAAAGAUCAAAAUAGCUAAAAUGGUUUUUCAUCAUAGAAAUCCACAUGUCAGAAUUUGAAUGGAAUACACGUCAGAUUUCACAUGUUCAUACGCUAACAAUGUAAAAUUUAUUCAUUUUACUAUAAUAAUCAAAUAUCUUAUUUAUAUUAUAUUUUACCUUAUGUAUAGAUCAGGUAAUGAAUUCCUUUCACCUAAAUUUUUUCAUAAAAAAUAAAGAAAACUGCAUGAUUCUGGUAAAUUGAUUGAAAAAUUUUAGUGUUAGAAGAAAAACUCACAAUGAAGGUAUUUAAGACAACAUCAAUUAAGUUUAUUUAUUAUGUUUAUAUGUUAUAGUUGAAUGGUGGUAAUUGUGUAAAAUUUAGAAAAAAUAGGACAUAAUAUGUAUCAUAAUUGAUACAUUUUAGAUGUCUAUUAAAUAUGAAUAUUAGGUGGGUUUUAUUUAAAAUCACUCUUUAAAAUUGAGUGUAUAUGAAAAUCCCCCUUAUUUAAAUCUACUAUAUAUAGUUGAACCAAUAACAUGAUGAACAUACAAGUCUCAUAAAACAUACAAGAGUUUCAUGAUCUUAUUGCCUUCUACUUUUAGACUUUCUGCUGUGAAAUGGCUGAGACUAGACUACUAGAGUAAAAGAUUUGCUAGCACAAGCUUAUCGGUGGUCAUGGCAAACAGAAAGAAAACAUGCAAAAACAAGAAAGAACUUGACUAAGAGCACAUAUGAAGUUUAACAGCAUGGAGUUUCUGGAUGGAGGGAUCAAGGGAAGUAUGGUACCAGGAGAAGAUAAAGAGGAGCUUUCUUACACACCGUGCAAUGAAGCCUGAAAGAGGGUCAAUCCAUUUCAAAGAAGGGAAGAAAUCUCCGAAACUGAAUGACAUUAGUUCCACCAUGAACCUUCUUGAUGUCUUUCCAUACCAAUCACCAUCUUCUACGAACUUCAUACCCAAAUAGUUUCACAAACGAUACAAUAUCGAUAAGUUUUUGCUAAUAUUUUUGGGCUGAAAACUUAUGAAACGACCGAACUGGUUUGAGUAUCCUAUGAGAUUAUGGCAUCCGAACAAAACGUAGUAGUACACUAGUGUUACUGUGUUAGGCUGUUAGCGAAGGUUCAAGUAGUAGUAGUACUUACGAACGAGAUGGGAAGCACCCAAACAGACACUUUCUUCUACUGGGCUCAUCGAUCUGCCUUGGACUAACCAAUUCCGACGAUCGGUCAUUGAUCUUUCGCUAAAAUGAAAAUGUUCCAUGUCACACGUAUUCUUCUUUCAAUUCAUGACCUUCUGGGCGUCCUUAGCAGUUCCAUUGUGACGAAUACCUUCUGUUUUCUCCAUAUCCCUACCUAUCUCUCCAAGUUUGGGCCUUUCUGUUUUGUUUUGGGCUGUAUCCCUUGAGAUAUAUGCUUUUUUGGGCUAAGCCUUUCUUAAAGUUGAAACUUGAAACUAGGGCACCAACUUCUCCGUCACUAAAUGGAGCUGUCCACUCUGCUCUGGCCUUGUGGAAUAGUCAAUUGUACAGAUCAUGUACGUUCUGCUUUUCCUCCAAGUCUCCAGGUACUGCCUAUGUUCUCUGUUCCAUUCCCAUUGGCCAGGAGUCUCUGUUAGCAGGCAUUGUUAAAAUGGGCAGUAAGUGCACCACUUCGUGCAGUGAAUCGUGAUAAUUAAGUGAUUUUUGGAUCCCUUAGUUUGACUGAGCAAGAUCUUGUUAAAAUGGGCAGUAAGUGCACCACUUCGUGCAGUGAAUCGUGAUAAUUAAGUGAUUUUCGGAUCCCUUAGUUUGACCGAGCAAGAUCUUGUAUAAUCUUUCUGAUCAAAUUUUUUUUUAUCUAUUCCCUUGAAAAGAAAAAAAGAAAAAAGAAAAAGGGGGGGGUAUGUUAAUAAUAUAGAUGUGUAUAUCAAAUAGUGUUUUGGGGGCUUUGAACAGAAUGUUUUGGGAUUUCCACAAUCAUACUGGUUGAAAAAUGACAUAACAUCAAUUAAAAGCCAUUAUUUUCGAAACCAAUCAUGUGGUAACUAAAAUUUAUCAAGGACUCAUGGACUAAUAAUUACUACUUUAAUGACUCAAUUUACCGAUUUAAGGUAAUUUUAUACAUGUUCUACAGGAAAAUUCUAGGGUGAGUUGAUGCAUUGGAUAUAAUAAAACUUUGAAUAUAUUAACGGCUUAGAUUAUUCAAUAUUGAUGACUUGUUUACCAGGUAGCAUGUAAUUUUAUAACUUAUAUAUGAAAAAUAUAAUCAAAAACAAAAACAGAAUUUAAAAAACCCUAGCUUAUUAGAAACAGAAAAAAUGAACAAGUCCGUUCCGUUUCGUUCCUCUACCGAUUUGCACUGAUUUGCUAAGAUAAAACCUAAAGUGAAGGAAAAGAAGAGGAGAUGAAGGAGAAAGAGGUUGGCUUCAUAUUCGUUCUGUGAGAAGAGGAGAGGAAGUAAGAGGAGAGGAAGGAGAAAGAGGUUGAUAAAACCUAAGGUAAUUUGCUCUCUCAAAUUCAUUCGUUCUGUGAUGUAUAUGAGUUUAUCAAAUGCCACAAAUGGCUUCACAUUUGUUUUAUGAAUCAUCAUCAUGUAUAUAUCUGUGGCCUGCAUCAUUGAAUGAGAUUUUUCAUAACAUGGGUGCUCCAGCUCUUCAAGCUGAUUUGGAGAAACUGAUUUAUAUUGAGAUUUGAGAUUAGAAUAAUAGAGAGGAGCCCUAGCCAUGUCGAAGCGAGGGCGCAGAGGUUCCGCUGGGAACAAGUUCCGGAUGUCGUUGGGUCUGCCGGUGGGGGCGACGGUGAACUGCGCGAACAACGCCGGCGCCAAGAAUCUGUACAUCAUCUCAGUGAAGGGAAUCAAGGGGCGGCUGAACCGGCUGUUGUCGGCGACAUGGUGAUGGCCACCGUGAAAAAAAGGGAGCCGGACCUGAGGAAGAAGGUGAUGCCAGCUGUCAUUGUGAGGCAGCGCAAGCCGUGGCGCUGAAAGGAUGGUGUUUUCAUGUACUUUGAAGACAAUGCUGGUGUCAUUGUGAAUCCAAAGGGUGAAAUGAAAGGAUCUACUAUCACAGGGCCUAUUGGAAAGGAAUGCGCUGAUCUGUGGCCAAGAAUUACGAGUGCAGCUAAUGCCAUAGUUUGACUGUCUCAACUCACUUUAGAUUGGUUUUUUUUAGUUGUCCUUUGAACUCUAGAUGAGUAUGCCCAUGUGGUGUUUGAACUUACUAUCCUACAAUCAUGUAGACUCUGAUAGUUAAAGAGUUUUUGUUCUAAAAAAAAUAGGGAGGAACAAUGGCCUUAAACUGUAAGCGUCUUAAGUUGGUAUGCAUUUUGACAGAUGGAGCUUUAAACUUCAAUUGAAAGCUGGAAGUCUAGAACCUUGUAUGAUUGAAACCAGCAAGAAGAAUGCUUGCGAGUGAAAUUAACAUCUUUUUGGGCUUUUCAACCUUGGAUUGACGUCAUACUUGAUUGGGGAGAUGAUGUGAUACUCUGAAAAUGUAGAAAGUAAAUUAUAUAUAUAUAUAUAUAUGAACACACAAAAUUUGAGGAUUUGGUCAAAUUCAUAUCGACACGUUAUAAAUGAGGGUUGGCAAGAAAUAUUUUCGAAAUCGAUGAAUAAUAAGAAUGCUCAAAAUGUUAUUCGAAUUUUCUAUGACAAGAUAAAGUCAGUAUUUAUGAUGGUUUAUGAGAAGUUCUUGUAUUCAUAAGAAUAACUAUUUAUCGGGACUUUCCAAAGCUUAGAGAUUAUGAAAAUUCAUUUAAAUAUCGUGAUAACCCGUAUUUUAGGUAUAAAAUUAAUAGCAAUUUGAGUAACCAUAUGUGGAAUUAGUGUUCAAUUAUGCCACAUAUAACUUUUGUAUCAACUUUAUGAAUAUGAUCGUUGGUGACAUCAUAUGAGUAUAUAUGAGACAAUAAAUAUAUUUUUUGUAAUAAAAUAGAUAUUAUUAAUAUAAAUAACAAAAUAGAAAAGAGAAGAGAGGUCUAGAAAGGUCGGUGUCAAAACUGACAUAAGCCACCGACAUCAGCCCUCUCUCGAGAUAAGAGUGGAAAGGGACUGGAUCAAGGGCGAUCCUUCGGGAAGGAUCGAGCAUCCUCAACCUGAGAGAAGAGGAAGGCUUCUGAGGCUUAUAUAGCUUGAGACCCUUUAACAAGACAGGGAGAAGAGGGACGAGGGGGAUCUGAUUGGGAGGUCCAACAAUUGUAGACUGGUCUUGGCGGUGAGCUCUUAUAUAUGUAUUUGCUAGAGUUUAAUAGGGUAUUUGAAUUCGGUAGGUAGCAGAUAUGAUAAUUGGGUUGGGGUUGUGUGCUUGAUUUUGGCUCAAAAUCGUACAUGGUUGUUUUCUGGAAAUUUGAAAAUGGAUUCACUUUUGAUAUAAUGAUUGUUUGUGUUGGCAUAUCUAGGAAGAAGAAAGGUGUUAAUUUGAUGAAUGGGAAACUAGGGUAUGAUUGCUGAGAAAAUAUGGAUUAUGUUCCAUGAAAAUAUCGAUUAUUUUCGAUUUAUUUGGGGUCAGGCUGUUACAGAUGAGUUGCUUUUCAACUGGGGAGAUGAGUUUUUUCCUUCGAUAGAAUUGGGGAGAUGAGUUGGAGAGAGAGAAGACAUCAGGGAUGGCAAGCCAAAUUGAUUUUCUUAAAAGAAACAAAGAAAAAAAAAAUACAAAGUCAGUCAAAUUUCAUCUUACAAGUUAGACAAAUAUGUAUACCCAUAAAAUAGUAGAUGUGUUGUUAUACAAGUAAAAUGUUAUUAAUAUGAGUAAAUUGUCGUUGAGACCAUUUUGAUGUAAUGAGGAUGUUUAUAUUGUAAAUCAUGUCUUUUAAGAAGUUUUAAGCUAUGUGACGACAUUUUUACAUCGUUUAUCGAUAAUUAAGGUGAAAAUAGUAAUUAAUGUCGAUUUCAUGGUAGUUUUUUGUAUGAGAACCAUUAGAUUCAUAAGUCAACGAAUUGUUUAAAAAGUAGUAAUUAAGCUUUUAUUUGUAGUAAUUUUUUCAAUUACAAGUUCGAGAAUUAUUUUACCAAUCUGACAAUAAAUUGUCAUAAUUGUGGUAAAACUGAUGUACAUACGAUAAAUAAGUUGUUUAUGUAAUAUUGUCUUUUAUCUAGUAAUUAAUACCUUACUUUAUGUAAAUUUUGUUGUGAUUGAUAUAAUUACUUGUAAUACAACGUGUUUUACUAUAAAUUACAACAACCAAGGUAUAGCUGGUAAAUAUAGUCGUAUUCUUGAUAUUACUUAGAAUACAAUCCAUUUUAUGAAAAUAACGAUAAUUUUAUCUCUAGUGAUAACAAAUAUUGUAAAUAUUAAUAAUCAAGCCUAAAUUAUCUAAAGUUGUUAAUCUUGUAAAAUAGUUAUUUUUUAUGUAAUUAUGGUCCUUUUUUAAGUAAAUUACACCAUUCAUGAUAUCUUUAUUACAAAUACCACAUUUAGCGUAUUUAGUGAUAAUUACAGUGGUAAACCAAGUAAUUACAGCAUUUACGACCCUCAUUAUAAGUUUUUGAACAAUUCAUGUAUAACAUAAUUAAAAAGUCCUUAAAAUUGUAAUUUUUUCUACACAUAUCACAAUAUUACUGGAUGACAUGUUUACCUGUACAACAAAUUGUUUAUUUUUAUAUAUUAUUAUAAAAUAGUUGAUGCAUACUACGUAUCAACUCACCCUAACCUUCCCAUAUUCUACAUUAACACGCAUAUGAAAGUUUUGUAUAAAGUUGUUGCAAAGUCAUUGCAUUCCUUGUGCACUCAAAGAUAUUUUAGAACGGAAGAAUUUUCAACAUAUCCUCUUUGACUAUCUCUGUUGUUUAGAGUACUUUUCCUACGGACAUAGUACCAAAAUGAAAUGGAUGAGCACAUGCAUGCACAAGAAAAUGAUCGCAGUUUUUGCAAUUGAGUCGACCUAUUUGCAUGAACGUACUAAACAAUUGAGAAGUUGAUUAGUCCAGGCACUACUAGAAAAAUAUGUACGUAAUGGACACUUUUUGUGGAUACAUUUUUUUAACUACUAGAAAAAUAUGCACGUAGUGGACACUCUGUGGAUACAUUUUUUUAACUGUAUUAUUUGAGUAGAGCAAAUGACAAAAUACUAAAUUUAUGUUUUAUAUCAGUAGUCGCCACUCGAGAAGGUGCAAAUUGAAAAACAAAUGAAUUAACAAAGAAAAAAGGUGCAAAUUGUUGAACUUCGGUGCUUCCAUGGCUUGACUUCUCCGACGGAUGACAACAUGGAUGAGCGUAUGGAGUGAAUAUUGUCAUUUGCUCAGCCCUGGCUAGCUCCACAAUGCUAAGUACAGUAAAACCUCAAUACAGACUGGCAAAAUUUAUUAAUUUAACGAGAUAUUAAUUAAUCUGAUAAAUUAAUAAAUUAUUAAUUUAUUGAUUAUUCAAUAACUUAUUAUUUUAUCAAAAUAUUAUUUAAUUUUUUAAAUAUGACUUUUUUAUAUUUUCAACAAAAAUAAUAUUAUUGUGCAUUGUUCAAUUAAUGUCUAUAUUGUCGAAUUUGUUAUUAUGUUAUAGUGUUUAAUAUGCUACUUUAUUCGAUGUACAACAUUUUCAACAUACAAUGUUAAUUAGUUUGGAAGUACUAUAUAUAUAAUUAGUUUAUUGGAUGAACACUAAAUAAACAAAACCAUAUAAUCACACAUCACAUAAGAAAAACAAAAAUGGUUUCUCAUCUCAAAGGAGUAAAGAAAAUCAACGAUAACGGAUGAAAUGCGUAAAAUAUUGUGCGAGUACAUUAAAGACAAUCCAUGCAUGUAGCACUCAAAAGCAUUUGCAACAGUACGUUUUAGAAAAGUUUGACUUGCAAGUGAGUCUAAUGACGAUAUCAAAUACGAUCAAUGCUGACCUCAAUUUUCAAGAAGAAACAAGUCACAAUUGAGUCUUAGAAAUGAGUCAUUCUUUAUUAAGUCUUAGAAAUGAAUAAUUAAUCAUGUGUAUUAAGGAAUUUUCAACAUAUCUUCUUUGACGAAUAGACACUAUAUUACCAAAAAAAUUGACGGAUACAUGCACUAGGGACAACGUGGAUUGCAAUAUCAAUUGAAACAAUGAGAUGUUUGAGUUUGGAAUUUAAUAUAUAGCAUGGCACAAACUACGACGUAGCCAUAAAUAAUGCAACAAUUAAUCAGACUCAAGUUCAUCAGUCUGAUAUUGACUGAGAAUAUGUAAAUUGAUUUUCUUCGAUCGAUCUCUGUUGUUUAGAGUACUUUUCCUACGGACAUAGUACCAAAAUGAAAUGGAUGAGCACAUGCACAAGAAAAUGAUCGCAGUUUUUGCAAUUGAGUCGACCUAUUUGCAUGAACGUACUAAUCAAUUGAGAAGUUGAUUAGUCCGGGCACUACUAGAAAAAUAUGUAGUGGACUCUUUGUGGAUACACUUUUCUAACUGUAUUAUUUGAGUAGAGCAAAUGACACCCUUUUAUAUUUUUAGUAUUCUUUACUUUAUGGAUACUGAAAACUGUGACUAAAGAGAAAAAAAUGGGGAAGGCUAAGAUGAGUUGAUGCAUGAUAUGCGUCAAUUAUUUUACAAUAAUAUAUAAAAUUGAACAACCUGUUGUACAGGUAAACAUGUCGUCCAGUACUAUUGUGACAUGUGUAAAAAAAUUACAAUUUUAAAAAUCUUUUAAUUAUUUUAUACGUGAAUUGUUCAAAAACGUGUAAUGAGGGUCGUAAAUUUUGUAAUUACUUAGUUUACCACUGUAAUUACCACUAAAUACGUUAAAUGUGGUAUUUGUAGUAAAAAUAUCAUGAAUGGUGUAAUUUACUUAAAAAUGACCAUAAUUACAUAAAAAAUAACUAUUUUACAAGAUUAACAACUUCAGAUAAUGUAGGUAUGAUUAUUAAUAUUUGCAAUAUUUGUUGUCACUAGAGAUAAAAGUUAUUUUUGUAAAAAUGAUCGUAUUCCAAGUGAUAUCAAGAGUACAACUAUAUUUACCAAUUAUACCUUAGUUGUUGUAAUUUAUAGUAAAACACGUUGUAUUAUAAGUAAUUAUCUCGCUCAAUCACAACAAAAUUUACUUAAAGUAAGGUAUUAAUUACUAGAUAAAGGACUUUAUUACACAAACAACUUAUUUACUAUAUGUACAUCAGUUUUACUAUUAUUACGAAAAUUUGUUGUCAAAUUGGUAAAUUAGUUCUCGAACUUGUAAUUGAAAAAAUUACUACAAAUACAAGCUUGAUUACUACUUUUUUAACAAUUAGUCGACUUAUGAAUCAAAGGGUUCUCAUACAAAGAACGACCAUGAAAUCGACAUUAAUUACUACUUUCACCUCAAUUGUUGAUAAACGAUAUAAAAACGUCGUCACAUAACAUAAAACUUCUUAAAGGACAUGAUUUACAAUAUAAACAUCUUCAUUACAUCAUAAUGGUCUCAACAACAAUUUACUCAUAUUAUUAACUUUUUACUUGUAUUACAAUAGAUUGAUUGUUUUAUUGAUAUACAUGUUCUCUAAGCUCGUAACAUGAAACUUUGAAGACUUUGUAUUUGUUUUUUCUUUCUUUUUUCUUAUUUCGUUUUCAUCCCCAACUACGGAUCAAGAAGGCAUUGGAUGAGGUAGGAUUGGUACAAGAAAACACAACAAGGAUGAAAUAUUAUUCAAUGGUAUAGUCUUAAGUUAACCUUAUCUGCUUAGGACUUUGGUUUUCAUAAAAGUAGCCAUCCUAAAUUUAACCUUAUAUUUCACAGUUGUCUUUCAUGAAAUAUUAUGGAGUGCGGCUAUUGGGACCUCCAAAUUUGCUCACUUGACCUCACUCUAUUAUGAAUUAUUAAAUGACAUAUUUAUCCUCUUACACAAUGACUAUUAAAGACACUGAUUAAAUAAAAAGUAAUAUUACAUUUAUUCUCUCUAAACUUUCUAAUUCAAUAAUAAUGCCAUAAUAGAUUGCAUUUUAUUAUUUUCCUUAUUGAUUUGUAUUUUCUAGUUUUACCACAUACUUAUUAAAGUAUUUAUAUAUUUAUAUUAUCAUACAUGUCACAUGCAUAUACAAAAUGAAAUUUUUUUACAAAAAUUAUGAUCUAUCAAUUAUAAAAAAAAAUAAUAAAUAAGUAUAAUAAUAUUUUUACAAAUUAUAAUCUAUCAAUUAUUAAAAUCAUUUAUCAUCAUGGGUAUAAAAACAAAAAAUAUAAACUUACAAAAAAAAAUAGUAUGUGUAAAAUAGAAAUACAAAAAUAACAAAAAUAUAUAAUAGUUCAUGUAAGAACAUUCGUUGGAUGAUCGAUAAAUAAAAUUUGAGACACAAUCCUUGUUUUUUUUUUUAAUAUUUUAAGAGAAUAGUAUUCUACUAUUCUUCAUGAUUCGAAUGAACUUUUAUCGAAAAUUGUUGUCAUUGAAAAUAAUUUCUUACAAUUUGAUCAAAAAAUGAAUGUCUAGUGACAUUUUAUGCAAAAUAAAAAAUAGAAAAAAAAUAAAGAAAUCAACGUCGGGAAUGGAGGUUUGCAUUAAAAAGAAAAAAAAAUUAAAGAAUGGAAGUCGGAAAUGGAUGUUCAAAGGCAAAAAGAAAAAAAAAAGAAUUUGAGGGAUAAGUGAAUAAGAGGUGAUGAGUAACAUAUUAAUAUAUAUGUGAAUUACAUAAAUAAGGCUAUUUUAGGAAUUUGAAAGGAGGUCUAAUGAGAAAAUGCUUGUAUUUAAAAGUAAAAUAGAGGUGUAAAGAGAAUGAGAGGUAUACUGAGCAAAUUUGGAGGUCCCAAUAGCCGCACUCAAUAUUAUGCAAUGGUAUAGUCUUAAGUUUUUCAUGAUUAUAAUGGUAAACCAAGUAAUUACAACAUUUACGACCCUCAUUACACGUUUUUGAACAAUUCACGUAUAAAAUAAUUAAAAGGUUUUUAAAAUUGUAAUUUUUUUACGCAUGUCACAAUAGUACUGGAUGACAUAUUUACUUGUACAACAGGUUGUUCAAUUUUAUAUAUUAUUUUAAAAUAGUUAAUGCAUGGUAUGCAUCAACUCAUCCUAGCCUUCCCCUUAAUUUAUUGAUUAUUCAAUAACUUAUUAGUUUAUCAAAAUAUUAUUUAAUUUUUUAAAUAUGACUUUUUUAUUUUUUCAACAAAAAUAAUAUUGUUGUGCAUUGUUCAAUGUCUAUAUUGUCGAAUUUGUUAUUACGUUAUAUUAUUUAAUAUGCUACUCUAUUCGAUGUACAACAUUUUCAACAUACAAUGUUAGUUCAGAGGUACUAUAUAUAUUAGUUCAUUGGAUGAAUAUUAGAUAAACAAAACCAUAUAAUCACACAUCACAUAAGAAAAACAAAAAUGGUUUCUCAUCUCAAAGAUGAGUAAACAAAAUCGAUGAUAACGGAUGAAAUGCGUAAAGCAUUGUGCGAGUACAUCAAAGAUAAUCCAUGUAGCACUCAAAAGCAUUUGCAACAGUACGUUUUAGAAAAAUUUGACUUGCAAGCGAGUCAAAUGACAAUAUCAAAUACGAUCAAGCGAUCAAGGUGACCUCAAUUUUCAAGAAGAAACAAGUCACAAUUGAGUCAUUCUUUCUUAAGUCUUCAUAAAUGAAUAAUUAGUUAUGCGUAUUAAGAAAUUAUUAAUUUAUAUAUUCAUUGGGUCUAUGUGAAUUCUCGUAUUUGUAUUAUCUUAUAAAUUUAACACAUUGUCCCCAACUUGGAACCUGCAAAAAUUAUUAUUUUAGCGAGGAUAUUAAUUAAUCGAGUAUUAAAUUAUCGAAGUUUUACUGUACGUACGUAAAACUAGUCUCCUCAUACAAUGAUCGGUUUGUUAGCAAGCUGCACGUAUCAGUGUAUCACUAUAAAUAUCAAGGCACCGCGAUAGUUCAACUCACACCGUGAUAGUUCAUCGUAUUACUUAUACACCAAGUAUCGAAGAUAUUUUAAAACAAACAAGUUUAUGACGUAUUAAUUUUCUUUGACGAAUACACUAUAUUGCUAAAAUGAUUAAUUGACAAAUACGUAUACAUUAGGAUAACGUGGAUUGCAAAACUUGAGCAAACAUGAGAUGUUUGAGUUUAGGAUUUCACAUUAUAUUAGGUGUUUAAAUUUAGGAUUAAAUUCAGUUUGCCCCCUCGUGCUUUAGGUCAAUAAUCAGUUUGGUCUCAUAUCUUUUUUUUUUAAUAACGUUGGUCUUUGUACUCUCAAAUGACAUCAUCUAAGUCCAAAAUUUGAAUUUUAGUGUAAAAAUGGGUGAGUUUGGUCCUUGAAAAAUGACUUUUUUCAUUGUUAGAAUGUUUAUUUGCCUUUUUGCCUUAUUUAUAGGUUAAAAAGCUCAAAUGUGGAUCUCCAUGUCAGUUUCAAGUCAGCAAAUAAUAUUAUUUUUGAAGCCAUAUUAAAAUUAUGGACUUAGUUGAUGAUGUUUGAGAGUACAAGGACCAACGUUAUUAAAAAACAAGAUAUGGGACCAAACUGAUUAUUGACCUAAAGCACGAGGGGGCAAACUGAAUUUAAUCCUUAAAUUUAAGCAUGAACAUAAUGAAAAAAAUAAAUGGCUUCAAAAAUGUUUUUGUAUAGUAUAAAGACAAAAUAGUCUUGAGUACUAUUGGAUUUGCAAAUGAUAAGAUUGUAUUUUUACUUAAGAAUGACAUGACAUGAUUUUUUAAAUUGAUGAUGUGUUUAGGUGACAUGUCAUACUACCUAGGAUUAAGGCAAAANNNNNNNNNNNNNNNNNNNNNNNNNNNNNNNNNNNNNNNNNNNNNNNNNNNNNNNNNNNNNNNNNNNNNNNNNNNNNNNNNNNNNNNNNNNNNNNNNNNNNNNNNNNNNNNNNNNNNNNNNNNNNNNNNNNNNNNNNNNNNNNNNNNNNNNNNNNNNNNNNNNNNNNNNNNNNNNNNNNNNNNNNNNNNNNNNNNNNNNNNNNNNNNNNNNNNNNNNNNNNNNNNNNNNNNNNNNNNNNNNNNNNNNNNNNNNNNNNNNNNNNNNNNNNNNNNNNNNNNNNNNNNNNNNNNNNNNNNNNNNNNNNNNNNNNNNNNNNNNNNNNNNNNNNNNNNNNNNNNNNNNNNNNNNNNNNNNNNNNNNNNNNNNNNNNNNNNNNNNNNNNNNNNNNNNNNNNNNNNNNNNNNNNNNNNNNNNNNNNNNNNNNNNNNNNNNNNNNNNNNNNNNNNNNNNNNNNNNNNNNNNNNNNNNNNNNNNNNNNNNNNNNNNNNNNNNNNNNNNNNNNNNNNNNNNNNNNNNNNNNNNNNNNNNNNNNNNNNNNNNNNNNNNNNNNNNNNNNNNNNNNNNNNNNNNNNNNNNNNNNNNNNNNNNNNNNNNNNNNNNNNNNNNNNNNNNNNNNNNNNNNNNNNNNNNNNNNNNNNNNNNNNNNNNNNNNNNNNNNNNNNNNNNNNNNNNNNNNNNNNNNNNNNNNNNNNNNNNNNNNNNNNNNNNNNNNNNNNNNNNNNNNNNNNNNNNNNNNNNNNNNNNNNNNNNNNNNNNNNNNNNNNNNNNNNNNNNNNNNNNNNNNNNNNNNNNNNNNNNNNNNNNNNNNNNNNNNNNNNNNNNNNNNNNNNNNNNNNNNNNNNNNNNNNNNNNNNNNNNNNNNNNNNNNNNNNNNNNNNNNNNNNNNNNNNNNNNNNNNNNNNNNNNNNNNNNNNNNNNNNNNNNNNNNNNNNNNNNNNNNNNNNNNNNNNNNNNNNNNNNNNNNNNNNNNNNNNNNNNNAAUAUAUAUAUAUAUAUAUAUAUAUAUAUAUAUAGCAUGGUAGCCAUAUAUAGAGUGCAACAAUGAGACUAGUUCAUCAGUCUGAUAUUGACUGAGAAUAUUGAUCUUCUUCUCUCUCUUUAGACAUUUCCUAUCGUGACACCAAAAUGAUGAAAUAAUGGAUAAGCGCAUGUGCAAGAAAAUGAUCGGAGUAGUUAUUGGAAUCAAAACCAAUUUGCAUGAAUUCAUGCCUCGCUCUUACAUGAGUGAAGUUGAGUUAAUAGUCCGGGAUUAUCUACGUACGUACGACUUGUCCUCACACAACAGUCGCUUUGUUAUCAGUGUAUCACUAUAAAUAUCGAGGCACCGUGGUAGUUUAACUCACACCAGCAAGCUAACUCUCCCGGCUUUAGUUGUUUAACUAUACCAGAGUCUCAGCUUCCAUUUUUCGAGUGCUUCGAUUCCCCUAGCUAUAAUGGAUCCUCUGUUGGUUUCAGCAUCUCAAUCUCAAACCCAAAAUGGCAGUAGCACUGCAGAUGUUGAACGACGUUCAGCUGAUUUUUCUCCCAGCGUUUGGGGGGAAUAUUUUCUGGCAUAUGCAUAUGUGGUAGGUUAUUUUUGAAGUAAUUUGCAGCAUCAAGCACAUCAUAUGAAUAUCAUAUUUAUCUAAUUACCCCCUUCAAAAUUUUCAUCUACUGUAGGAAACUGCUGAUAUUGAAGCCGACAAACGUGUCGAAGAAGUGAAGGAAGAAGUGAAGAGGGUGCUACUUAGUUCUCCGCCUUCACAGAGAUUAGACUUGAUUGAUUACAUUCAGCGCUUGGGGGUGUCACACCAUUUUGAGGAUGAGAUUCACCAACUUUUGCAGCAAAUUCACAACCAAUACUCAUCUUCUUCUUCAGAUGAUGAUGACCUUCACACUGUUGCUCUACGUUUUCGGCUGCUUAGGCAAGAAGGAUUUAAGGUUUCAUGCGGUGAGAAUCGUUCUUUUUUUUCCAAUUUUUCUAUAUAUUUAACAAUGGAUUAUUUCCUCUUAUUUCUUCUCUUGGUUGAUGAUCAUUAAGCAGACAUGUUCAACAAGUUCAUCGAUGUUGAUGGGAAUCUUAAGGAAUCAUGCGUCGCUGACGUACCAGGACUGCUAAGUUUGUAUGAAACAGCACAUCUAAGGAAACAUGGAGAAGAUUUCCUAGAUCGAGCAGUGUCCUUCACUACCACUCAUCUUGAGUCUGCAGUAGCAGCACCCGGCCGUUUAAGCCCCCCACUUUCAAAUCAAGUAGCUCAUGCCUUGUAUCAACCACUCUGGAAAGGAAACCCGAGGAUAGAAGCUANNNNNNNNNNNNNNNNNNNNNNNNNNNNNNNNNNNNNNNNNNNNNNNNNNNNNNNNNNNNNNNNNNNNNNNNNNNNNNNNNNNNNNNNNNNNNNNNNNNNNNNNNNNNNNNNNNNNNNNNNNNNNNNNNNNNNNNNNNNNNNNNNNNNNNNNNNNNNNNNNNNNNNNNNNNNNNNNNNNNNNNNNNNNNNNNNNNNNNNNNNNNNNNNNNNNNNNNNNNNNNNNNNNNNNNNNNNNNNNNNNNNNNNNNNNNNNNNNNNNNNNNNNNNNNNNNNNNNNNNNNNNNNNNNNNNNNNNNNNNNNNNNNNNNNNNNNNNNNNNNNNNNNNNNNNNNNNNNNNNNNNNNNNNNNNNNNNNNNNNNNNNNNNNNNNNNNNNNNNNNNNNNNNNNNNNNNNNNNNNNNNNNNNNNNNNNNNNNNNNNNNNNNNNNNNNNNNNNNNNNNNNNNNNNNNNNNNNNNNNNNNNNNNNNNNNNNNNNNNNNNNNNNNNNNNNNNNNNNNNNNNNNNNNNNNNNNNNNNNNNNNNNNNNNNNNNNNNNNNNNNNNNNNNNNNNNNNNNNNNNNNNNNNNNNNNNNNNNNNNNNNNNNNNNNNNNNNNNNNNNNNNNNNNNNNNNNNNNNNNNNNNNNNNNNNNNNNNNNNNNNNNNNNNNNNNNNNNNNNNNNNNNNNNNNNNNNNNNNNNNNNNNNNNNNNNNNNNNNNNNNNNNNNNNNNNNNNNNNNNNNNNNNNNNNNNNNNNNNNNNNNNNNNNNNNNNNNNNNNNNNNNNNNNNNNNNNNNNNNNNNNNNNNNNNNNNNNNNNNNNNNNNNNNNNNNNNNNNNNNNNNNNNNNNNNNNNNNNNNNNNNNNNNNNNNNNNNNNNNNNNNNNNNNNNNNNNNNNNNNNNNNNNNNNNNNNNNNNNNNNNNNNNNNNNNNNNNNNNNNNNNNNNNNNNNNNNNNNNNNNNNNNNNNNNNNNNNNNNNNNNNNNNNNNNNNNNNNNNNNNNNNNNNNNNNNNNNNNNNNNNNNNNNNNNNNNNNNNNNNNNNNNNNNNNNNNNNNNNNNNNNNNNNNNNNNNNNNNNNNNNNNNNNNNNNNNNNNNNNNNNNNNNNNNNNNNNNNNNNNNNNNNUUAUUAUUAUAUAUAUAUAUAUAUAUAUAUAUAUAUAUAUAUAAACCUCUUUUAACAUGGAUGCUUAACAUGCAUCUAUGUUGUUUUUGAUUAUCGAUAUCAAUCAGGUGGGAUCUCUCUGCCAUGGAUCCACUGCCUAACUAUAUGAAAAUUUUCUAUGAGGCGAUCUUGAAUGCCUACACUGAAAUUGAAGCCGAUCUUGCCAAGGAGGGAAACUCGUAUCGCAUUGUCUAUUUAAUAGAAGCAGUAAGUCUCAUAAUCUCUCAAGGAGAGCUGACUGAUGAUAAUAUUUAUGGUUCAAUUGCAAACACAUAGAGAAUGAUUAUAUAUGUAUUUUGUUCUUUGAUGAUCAGAUGCAAUGUCAAGUUAGAAUGUACUUGAAGGAAGCCAAAUGGUACCACCUAAAGUGCACACCGAAAACCUAUGAUGAAUACAUGAGGGUGGCACUUAUUACAUCCGGCAUGUUUUUGGUAGAAGCAGCAUUCAUUGUUCCAUUAGCCGGUGAAAUUUCGACAAGAGAUUCCUUGGAAUCGUUGUUCAGAGACCCUGACAAUAUAAUUGUGAGGGCUUCAAACACACUUGGGAGACUCCUGAAUGACAUUCGAAGCCGCAAGGUACAAAUACAUGCAUACAUACAUAUAUAUUUACACACACACUAUAUAGUACUGAAUGAGUAAUAAACCCUGACCAAUUUUGUUAUAUAUGGAAGUUUGUAAUUUGUUGCUGAGUAUUAUACAUAUGUGCAGUAUGAGCAAAAGAGAGGAAAUGAUAUCACAGCUAUAGAAUGCUACAUGAAAGAAUACUGUGUUACAGAAGAAGAAGCGUUCGUCGAACUAAAUAAACAAGUGAAUGAUGCUUGGAAGGAUGUAAACGAAGAAUUGCUCCAGCCUCCCCCAACUGUCCCUAGGCCGAUACUGUUGCUGUGUCUCAAUCUUUUACGAGUAACUGAUGUUAUAUACAAGUAUGACGAUGGUUAUACUAAUGGUGGAGUUGUGCUUAAGGAUUAUAUAACUUCUCUGCUUGUCGAACCUGCUCCAAUGUAGGUUAUAAAUCAACACUCGACAUGUUAUCUUCCAC